UUUUCACUUUCCCCCCUGUCAUUUAAAAACCUACACUUUGCCCCCUUGUAAAAUAAAAAAUGUGCACUUCGCCCCCUACUGUUAGUGAUCAGUUAGGGUUUCAUAAAAUAUUUUUUUAUGCCCAAAAUACCCCUCCGCCCUUUUUCCUUGUUACUUCGCUUUCCUCCGCUUUCCUCCGUCUUGCCGCCUUGCCCUCCUCUAUUGCCUCGCCCUUGCCCACAUUCCCGUUCGUGCCCACCAACACCCCUUCGCCCUCCUCCGUCGCCUCUUCUUCGCCCUCGUUGUCGUUACCCACCUCUCCAUCCACCCCCAUCUCGAUUUUCAUUCUACUGUCGCCGAAAUCGAGGGAUGGCGAGGGUGCAGGAGGAAGAUGAGGCGUGAACGGCGGCGAAACCGCGGCUGAUCGAGGCGUGAACCGAGGCUGAUCAAGACUGCUGUUGAGGAAGAUGAGAGAGAAGACGAAAAUCGUGAGGAGAAAAUGGUUAUUUUAUCAUCACAGUACACACCGUACCCUCCUGUAAAUAUUUUUCAUUUUAUAAAGGAGCAAAGUGUAGGUUUUCAAAUGACAGGGGGGAAAGUGAAAAAUCGGGUUUUGACAGGGAGUUUUAUGUGAUUUAGCCUAUAUAUAAUUAUAUAUAAUAUAUAUUUUAAUUAUAUAAAAUAAUAUAUAUUAUGUAUUUUAAUUAUAUGUAUAUAGAAUUUAGAAUAUUGGGCCCACAAAACCAAACCAGCAAAAUUCUACUCUAAUUACUCUUUUUCUCUCUUUUUUACUUUCUCGGUGAGCCGCUUUUUCUAAUUUUUUUAGUAUUAUAAUAUCGUAUUUCAUGCAUUUAUUUAUAUGUUAAAUUAUUAUAUAUUUUUUAUAUCAAAUUUUAGAUAAUACUUUAUAAAAAUUAAAGUAUGGAUUGCAUGAUGUUAAGAAUUUCCAGCAGCUCGUUUAGGACUCGAGCUCGCUCGACUCGAAGUUAGGCUUGCUCGAGCUCGGCUCGAAUUAAUUUCAAGCCAAGCUUGAGCCUAAAUUUAGGCUCGAAAUUAAUUUCAAGCCAAGCUUGAGCUGAGGUAAGUUCGCUCGAGCUCGGCUCGCUUCCACCGCUACAUAGCAGCUCAACUCUCCGGAUCGUAACUACACUAUUCUAUAAAUAGUAAGCCUUGUGUAGGAUAUAUUCUUUCACAUAUAAUCCCUCCCAAAGACCAGGUCACAUAUAACCACCUGUUUCUCCUUACCACCACAUCCAUAAUUACCUUCUAAAUCCAUCCCAAUUUAAACACCAACUCUUCUUCAACACUCCUCCAUCUCCUUUCCUUAUUCCUCACCUCCUCUUCUUCAGAGAUCCAAAAUGGUUGUGCUACGCGCAUGGCUUCUCCUCUCUUUGCUCGCCUUCGCCCUUCUGACGCGGUCGACGCAUGCCGAGGACGCAGCCCCCGGCAACCCGCACGCGCCGGAGAACCAAGAAGAGGAGGUGCUGUCGGUGAACGUGCCGUCGACGACGACGGCGGCGGAGAACGAGGAGUAUGACAAGGAUGAGUUGCCGCUGGAGCAAGAGUUGGUCGUUCUCGGUCACUAGCUAAGCAAGUAGUGCAUGAUCUGAUUUGUUGGAGAAAAUCCAAAAAGUUUAUUUGAGUUUUUAUUUAUUCAUUCAUUUAUUCAUAUUAUGUUAUUUAUUAUUUAUUUACUUAUUUAUUCUUUAUCUUUUGAUCUUUAAUUUAUUUACUAAUUAUGUGAUUAACUUGGUAUCUUUUGAGCCUGAAUGCAUCUCUUAGGAAAAAUUCUGGAAUGCAACCAGUUAUAUUGGUGAUGUGGCGUCUCUAACUAAUUAAAUGAAUCUUUUUAGAUUAAUCUGUCACAUCAUGAUUAUAAAAAAUAUAUUUUUAUUGUAUUUUUUCUAAAAGAAGAGAUGCGGCUGGUUUAUUAUUACUGAUAUGGUGUAAGUGUGAUACAGUAAAUUUUUUCAUCGCUAUUGUCAUUCAUGUAACACAUGAGCAUUGUAGAGAGAAGAGAAAAAAAAAAAGAAAAAAAAAAGAAAAAAAAGAGAGUUCUUUUUCUCUUAAUUUUUUUUUUUUUUUUUUUACUUUCUUGAUAUAUCUAAUCACUGUAUGUAAAAAAAUUCUAUCAAUCUCCUCUUUGGUCGUGCUCACGGAAAAAGAAAUUCUGGUUGUAUCUUAGGAUAGUAUUCUCGGUUAAUCCCACACAUAGGAUGAGAAUUGUCUGUCUCCUUUUUUUUUCAACAACUUUAGAAUUUUUGGUAUCUACUUUCUUAUGAAUAGAUUUGAUAAUUUCUUUAUCACAAAAUUAGUUAGAUUCUUUAAUCACAAUUAAAUUUUAUUGUUAUUUUAAUCAAUAUAUAUAUGUAUGGGUGGUUCUUAGAAGUUUUGAGGCCCUACAAAUUAUAUCUUUACCAGGGCUUGUUAGAAAUAAUUUGAAUGGUCUACUGCAUUGUUGACUAUAAUAUUUGAUGAGAAAAUUAAUUAAAGUUGAUUACAUAUAUAUUUACAUUUAUUGGUACUAAUAUGUAUAGAAUGUUAUUUUGCUAGAAUUUGCACAAACCCAUUGUGCUACGUACUCCAUUUUUUAUGAUCUAAGUUUUCAAAUUUAUGAUCAGUACCGUUGAAUAUGAAAUAUUUAAACAAUUUAGAAACCGAAAUUUUAGAAUUUUUUUAAACAAAUUAUUUAGUGAUCAAAAGAUUUCAAAUUUGAUAAGACGUUGUUUAUUAGUUUAAUAAUAGAGAAACAAUUCAAAUGGGCUAAAUUUUUAAUGGAACGUUAUAUUACUAUCUAGAUCAAGAUUAGAAAUUCUAAUCUUGAAUUUAAAAAAUUCUUCUCUACUUUUAGAAUUUGUUUGAUUAUAAUUGUUUAUUUCACUGGGACUCGAUACAUUGGCAAAUGAUAUUUAAAAAUCAUAAAACUUACUUACUAUAUACACUACAACAGAAUUAGGUUAUAGGGAUACAUGUUUGGGACACUUUUGAGUAAGUGUCUCAUUUAUGCUAAAACUUAAAAACACAUCUACUAAUGUCUAAAUAUAAAGCCCAAUCCAACCAAAAAUAAAAGAUUGCUCUACUCAACCUACCACACCCAGUCCAUUUGGCCCGAUUACAAACAGAAAAGAAAAAAAAAAGAAAAAUCAAUUACCAUCUUUCUUCUCUCUUCAUUCAAUCCACUGAAAUUCUAGACGAAGAGCCUUUCCUAUCGUCCUCCUCCGCCACCGCCACCGCAACCAACGAGAUAGAGUUUCGGCAGUUGCUAAAUGCUUAAAUAAGUGUUGGUAAAUUAGCAGCACUCUUUUAGGUUAUAGCGACACUCUUUAACUGUCACUAUAUACCUAGCGACCCCACAUAUAGCAACACUUUUUAAAAGUGUCGGUAAUUUUAGCUAGUAACACUUUUUUGACAUGUACCUAUAUUUAAAAGUGUCGCUAUAGACCGUUUUUGUUAUAGUAAUAGUGUUCUAGAUUAUUUUUAAUCAUAGGGAUGUCAAUGGGUAUGGAUACCUAAAUUUUAUUUCGAAACCGAAUCUGAACAAAGCGAAUUUACCUGAUGCUAAAUGAGUAUAGUUUCGGAUACAAAUAUAAAAAAUAAAACCCAACGAAUUUGAAUAGACACACUUGAAUUAGCUUAAAAUUAGUGUUAUUGAGUAACUUUUUCUUUUUUUUUUGCAGAAGCGCGCACUACAAAAUAAUGCUCCGUUUGCAAAGAAAAACGUUCACCAGGAAAAAAACUAAUUUUCAGUGCAAUUAGAAUUUGUGACAAAUAAUAGUAAUUUUGAAAAUUAUUUGUGUCAACCUAUAUAUUUGUCAUUUCAGUUAUUUACUAAUUGUUAGAGGAUUUUAUCAAUCAAAUGUUAUUCGAAAGAUUUGAUAUGCCGCUCUGAAAUAGUUUUGAUACUUUUGCUUACGUGCAUAAUAGAAAAAGAUAAAUUGUAUAACCAAAAAUAUAAUAAAGGAGGCACGAAACGAAAAUCUAACUAAUUAAAUGGUGGCUAAAUAUGGUCCAUAUUUGAAUUCACAAUGCAUGAAACCUAGGGAUUAGCAUCUGUUUUUUCUUAAAAAUGUCUUAAAAAUUAGGUCAAAUAACGAUCUGAAAAUAUUACAGAGUCAAGAGUCACUGGUUCAACUAGUGGGUCAACCAAUGGUUGGAUCAGUGACGUCAAUAUGACGUCAUAAAUAUUUAAUUAUUAUUUUUAAUUUUAUACAUGUAUUAUUAUUUUAUUAUCAUACUUAAUAUAAAAUAUUGAUUUUUUCAUACCAAAUUAAGUAGAUAAAGUUUUGAAGUUUCAUUUUUUAUAAGAGUAAUAUGUACUAAUGAAGAAUAAAAUAAGUUAAGUUUAUUUUAAGCUGUUGGAUUUUAAUAUGACUUGAUAAAAAAAAAAAAAUUCGACUGGUUUCACUAAAAUCGGAUCGAUUCACUGGUUCAAUAGUUGAACCACUGAGUUGAUGGUUCAAAGCUAUUUUUUUGACUUAUUCAGUUCGAAGGAUUGAAUCGAACAACUUAUAGAUUGGAUUAUAAUCAGAUAGAUGGAAUCGGUAGGUUCGACCUGAUUUUUAAAUCAUUGUCUUUUAUUAGGACUCUCUGAAAUACCAUAUGCUGUGUGUAAGGUAAAAAUAGUUGUACAAUAAAAAGCAUUUGAAGAAUUGUAACACCAUCCAAUAGUAAAUAAGGAAUUAUUGCAGCUGAUAUGUAUAUGGUUUGAGAUGCUAUAUUGCAAUUGAAACUUGAAUUUGUGAUGGUUUGUUAUUGUCAAAGAUAUAUAGUAUGCUUUCAAACAAUAUUUCCUAUUGUGAACACAUUUUAGCAAAUUCUCAUAAAAUUAAUUUUAUAGGUUCACAAAAUCAUUUACCUAUAAUUUUGUGUGCCACCCAAUAAUUAUUUCCUAUGAACAAAAGAAAUAUAUCCUUUAAUCUCAUACCAGAGAGAGAGAGAGAGAGAGAGAGAGAGAGAGAGAGAGAUGUUUAGCAUUUUGAUGGAGAAAAAUUUGAUGGAGAAAAGAGUCUUACAUACUCUUUAAUUGGCAUCCAAUUAAUGAUGACCAAAUGGUUCCUUCCAAAACCAAAUGGAAGGGAAAACAAAAAAAACAAAAAAAAACAAAAAAAAACAAAAAAGGUCCUCAAAAUUGAAUCCAACAAGAAAAAUAAAUCAAACCACUUGCAAAAACCAUUAUUAACAAAUUCUACAAAAAAAAAAAAAAAAAAANUUGCAGACAAGCAUAUUCGGCAUGUUCCUGUUAUCGAUCAGAAGGUAGUCGGCAUGAUCUCAAUCGUUGAUGUAGUGCGAGCGAUCAUAGAUCAACAACACGGUGAAGUGAAGCGUUUGAAUGAAUACAUCAGAGGAGACUAUUACUAGUGUGUAAACCACGGAGAUAAUAAAUAAGAAAAUUGGUGCUCACAAAUGGAAAUGUUGUGAUGCUCAGACAAUACCACUAUUUUCUGACAUUUCUGUAUUUACUGUCAAUUGGCAGUUACUGAAAAGCCCUUCCUGCAAAGAAUAUGUGUUUUUUUUAUUUGGCGUAACUUUUAAAAUAGCUUUUGUACUUACCAAAACACUCUGCAUUUGAUAAAAAAAAUGAUUUAGAUGUUUUGCUGUGCAGAAAGCUAAGAUGAGUUUGCCCCGCUCGACCCGCCCUCAUUCUGGCGGGGCGAGGGCGGGAUAUUGGGUUCGGAUUCUCUCUUUUUUGACUUGAUCUGAUUUAAAAUUGUAUUAAUUUAUUUGGUCCGAUCAGACCCGGCAUGAUAAUUUUUCGAGCAAAUUUAUUUAGGCUUUAAAGUACAUAAUAUAUUUUUUUCAGCCUGGGCCUGCCAAAAUAAGUUCGGAUUGAAAACCGGGUUAAUUUUACGGCGAGAAAUUAGCUAAUUUUACAGCGAAAAAUUGAGACCAGGGUGAAAAAAAAAGAAGAAACAAAGAAGUUCAAGUGGGGAACGAUGAAGUUAAGCACGCGCUAAUUAAAGUUAAAAUAAUUGUAUCCCAAAAAAAAAAAAAAGUUAAAGGUGACGUCAGUUAAAAAAAUAAAAUAAAAUAAUAAAGUUGGGGAGUCCAUUUUAAAAUUGUAUGUAGUUGAGGGUUAGAUUAAGAUCCCCUCAAUUUCUAAUUUUUUAAAAUUAAGCUAUUUCAGUACAAAAAAAAAUUAGGAAUUUAUCAAAUUCAUUAGUAAUUUCACCAAAUUUAAGGGACUUCAAUUACAUUUUAGCAAUUAAAACUAGACCAGUUAAUAGUUAGCAAUUGAUAGAGUCGUUAAAUUUGAUAAAAGUUUUAACUUAGCUCAUUAUAAAAUAAAAAGUUGAGGAGUUUUUUUCAGAACAAAAUAUAGUUGAGGGGUCUCCUUACAUUUUUAUCUAUUCAUAAGAUCCCUUAUCUAAAUAAAAAAAAUUGACCAACUUUUUGCUUCUUAAAAAGUUUUCGGCUAACAACUUACAUAUACAGGGUCAAAGAUCUUGCCCUAGUUUUAGUUUGAAACCAUAGAUUUCUUUGUGUACCAAAAGUCAACCCUUUGACCACGGCUACAGCUUACUUAAUUGACCUUUUGAAUACAUAAAUAAAAUAUGUUUUUACUUCUUUUAUACGGCAAAUUGAUAAUAGGAUAGUCAUGCGGACGCAAAAGAUUUUUGUUUUUAGAAUUGUAUAUAAAUUAUCUUAAAAAUCUAUCAUUGACGAGAAGCAAAAUUUUAAAUCGUAAAUACGGCCCUGGUACGACGUAAGUUGUAAGCAAAUAACUUACUUGGAUAUCUAAACAAGCUCUUCACCUACAAAUCUUAUCAAAUGUUAAUUUCUUUUGUUUACUCAAAUACCUCGCUAAUGAGAAAUUCUAUUAUGUAACAGCCGCACCACAUCAUCUAUAACUAGUCAAUCACAUCUCUCUAUCUGAGCGAAAAGUACAAUAAAAAUAUUUUUUUAGUUGGUGACGCGACAUUUGUAAUAUCACCGAUACAUUCUUAAUUUUUCCCACAGCAAUACACUAAUUGUAUUUAACACAGUUAGCUAAAAACUUGAUGAUUAAUACCCGAUAUUCCAAAUUUAAAAUCUAAUUGCUUCGUAUUCUAAGUUUAUUUUAAAAAAUAUAUAAUAAAUGAAACAUCAAGAUCUGAUGUAGUCUGGAAAGUAAAUUUAGAUGUAGGAAAGAGUUAUGAUUAGAUUAGAAUACUCGACCAUUUAUUUAUUUAUUUAUUUUACACUCAAAUAGUGGUCCUAUUCACCUAUAUAAAACGGAUUAGUAUAAAAGGGGAAUGAUAAAAGGAACAACAAAGAUAAAAGUUAAUUUGAUAAAAAAUAAAAAAUUUCCGAGUUUGGUGUAUAAACUAUAAAGAAAUGGUCAAAUCGAUAGUGACAUCAAAAAAUUUUAAAAAGGGAAAAAAAAAAAAAGGGUGGCCUCGGGUCAGAUCAGGUCGGUUUCAAUUCAAUCCGAUUUGGAUUCUUAACCCGAAUCCAACCCGAUAAAUAAUAAUAAUUAUUAAAACAAAAGAAAAUUUGUUAAGAAAUAAUAAAGAAAAUUAUUAAAUUCUAAAUAAAUUUCUUAAUAAUACAUAAAUUAAGAAAAUUAUUAAGAAAUAAUAACGAAAUUUAUUAACAAAAGCAACUAGAAAUAGAAUGGGCAACAAAGAAAGAAGCACAAAAUGUACAAAAGUACGCAGCCAAUCAUAUAAUGCAUCUAAUAAAUUAUUAUAAUAAGUAGAAUUGGGCUUGAAAAUACUCAAAUAAAUUCGUAAGUAAAUAAUAAUAAAAAACAAUAAAAAUAGGAGUAAGGUUAGAAUACUUCAGAAGUAAACAAAAUCGCUUACUUAUACCAUUAUUUCUGAUGAUGGGGCAUCUAACUCGAUGAUCAGUACUAUUAAACUGUAUUUAGACUAAUCGAACUUCGCAAGAAUCAAAUUUUGCAAUUUUUUGUCAUCAUUUAUCUAGCGACCAAAUGAUCUCAAAUUCACCACCAAUAACAUUGUCACUUCGUGACCACUCCAAUAGUUAGUCAAUAAUAUCAAAAAGUUGUAAAAUUUGAAACUUAGAAUGUUCAAAUAGUCUAGAUUAUGAUAAGGCGCCGAUCGUCGAUUCAGAUAACCCAUCACCGAGAAUGAUGCGUAAGUAAAUAGUCCCAUAUACUUCUAGAAGCAUCCAAGCUUUACUUCGAAAAUAGAAAGUAAAAUAGAGCAAGUCUUCGAUGAAAAUGAAGGGGAAAAAGACUCUUCUUGGCUUGAUGUGUGUAUUCCAUCAAUCUUCUUCCUUUACAAUCAUAAACAAGGUUAGCAAUUCAAUAACAUUUGCGACGUAAAUUCGAUAUAACUGAUCCUGCGCAACCAGAAUAAUUCGAGAAAUAUCAUUACACCAUGCAUUAUUUUUAAGCAUAUAGAAGUGGGAAGAUAAAAGUUUUCAAACAGAAACUCACAAUUUACUGUGAUAACACAAAAUCCUUGCAGUGUAAGCUAUUAUGGUUGAAUCUCCUGAAUCACCGAAAUGACUUGACCGACGGUUUCGAAUUGGCGCCUUUCCUUAAGAAGCCUUUUAGCACAGUUGAGAGCGUUUCGCUCGCAAGAUGCCCGCUUGCUUGCAUCGGCGAUCGAUUCGAAAUCCUCAACAUGAGCUAUCCCCACUAUUCUCCUGCAUUCAAAACCAUUUAAUUGUUCACUUCAAAUGUAAAAUUUCAAGUGCUGUAACAAAUAUUUUUGUUAAGGGGUUCUUGGCCUAUAAAGGGAAUUUUGUAAUGGAAUUUCUUUUUAAAUUCAAUGACUUUAUUACUCAGAUAAAUGAUAUUUAUGUAGUCUGAGAUGUUUAUAUGCCAAGUGAAGCGGUUUAUUUUGGAAAGGCUAAAUUACAGAAAGCCCCCAUGUCAAAACCCGAUUUUUCACUUUCCCCCAUGUCAUUUAAAAACCUACAUUUUGCCCCUUUGUAAAAUAAAAAAUGUGGCUACGGUGUGAACUAUGAUGAUAAAAUGACUAUUUUGCCCCUCAUCAUGUUUACAGGAGAGAAGACUGAGGGCAUUUUUGGCAUAAAAAAGUAUAUAAUAAUAUUUUAUAAACGAAACCCUAACGGAUUACUAACGGUAGAGGGCGAAGUGAACAUUUUUCAUUUUAUAAAGGGGCAAAGUGUAGUGUAGGUUUUUAAAUGACAGGAGGGAAAGUGAAAAAUCGGGUUUUGACAAUAGGGUUUUAUGUAAUUUAGCCUUUUGGAAAAGAGAGGUAAGUCAAAAACAAGUUAAGAAAACCAGAAUAUCUGAACAUAGCAUGAUCCUAAGAAAUGUAUCAUUACCGUUUGUACAAGACGGUAUACUAAGUAUCUAUCUAAUGACCAUAGCCACUUUACACCUUUUUCUCACGGCGUAGCCCCAAAAUAUAUUAAAGGAAAGAAAAACCCAAAAAUAUUUGGAGCGGCGAAGGACUCGUUUCUUAAUCACCUACUUGACAGUUCUUGUUAGCAAAUAAUUAUGCACUCCGAAGGAUAAACAAUUAACGGCUAAGGUGUUAUUUUGAUGCAUCUAGAAUAUGUUUCACUACGACAAAUAUUUGCGACAUUACAGAUGACCGUAGCUUUUUAUUGGCUCUGAUUCUAUGCAGAAACUAUAUCAAACUCCUCCAUUAAGCAUAGAUAGUUCAAAAUACUUUGACCUUUCGGUUGGGAGUACCGAGUACAUAAUUUUCUGAUAAAUAAGCAACAAAAUAUCUAUUUCUGAAGUAUAAAGACAAAAGAUAAAUUGGAAAAUUUAAGGAAGAAUCCACCUAAUAAAACAAAUUAGAAUUAAACUUUUUCUCUAAGCUUGAACUUGGUAAUUUCAGUAUCGCACAAUAUGACAAAGAUCAGAAUCUAGAGAAUUACCUUAUCAUUUUGGCAGCACCGAAUCCAAGAGCAUCAUGAAAUAAAUCUUUCAAGUACUUUUGCUGGAGAGAAAUCCAAAGUUCUGGCUUGUUGUAUAUUGAAAUCAGAUAAGCUUCACCCUUCCCAUCUUUGUGUUCGUCCCAAAGAGAAAUGAACUUCUUCUGGAAAAGAUCCCAAGUUUCUACAAUCGUCCUUAAGAUCCAUUGCUUGUAUGCCUACAAAACUCGAUAGAUAAAAAUUUAACCAAGAGAACAACCAGUCCCAGAUAUUUCAAUACUAGUACUAGAAUGAUUUUUGAAUCAGCUGCUGGAGCUUGAAGCCAGCUUUGCUGGCUAGUGAUGCUGGUUAAUAGUAUAGUGUGAGGUAGCUAUUCAAUAGUGGUUAAAGGGCCUUUUGGGAAUAUCAGUGCAAGAAUUUCAUAUCACAAACCAAACAUACCCAAACAAAAGGUUAUACAUUGUUACACAACAUCAGAGGGUUUCUGAUAAUUAGAUUCCAUAUAUCCACGGAUUUAACGGCCCAUCGGCAAAGGCCGUGCCCAUUGUGCCAUACUGUGCUAGCAUGACCCAAACUCUCUUUUCUUCGAAAUUAGCAAGUAAUUACCUCAAUAAAGUGCAAAAGAUUUGAUUAAGUUUUGUAAGAAGAGAUUGGAAUAUAGUGAUGCCCAAAAAAAUAAUUAUUUUACUCCAUAUGACAACUUAUAGACAGUCAUGCGUACAUAAAUUUAGAUGUUAACAGAUAUAUAGAUUUAUAUAUAUACGCUAGACCUUUCUUGAUCACAUGCACGGGAGCGCGAAACACAAGAGAUAUUUGCACAUAAGGUAGGGUAAUUAUUGUUAAUCUUGAAAAAAAAAAAAAAAAGGAAAGGAAAGGCUCACUGUCUCUCUUCAUGAGACUGUCACACUUGUAGAUCCAGGAACUUUUAUCUCUUUAGGGACGAGAUUGACAGAGGUAGUCUAGCACCUGGUUAGACCAUGCUAUCCCUACCUUGAUAUAUAAAAGAUGAAGCAGGUAUGCUAAAUAAGCGACGCAGUCCAAUAAAAAUGACCGCCAAGAGAGCCAUCCAGCGCCUAGAUCAUAGCAGUCGCAUGAUUCAUACUUGCUGAACUUCAUUACUAGUUUGUCUAAACAGAUAAGCACCAGGUCAUAGAUUUAAGAGUUAAACGUGUAUCACUGGAAUAAGAAAUCUUAGUCUUCUACCAAGAGUUGUCGGGCUACUCAUUUCAAAUCUUUUCAUCCUUUCAAUUCAACAUGAGAACUAACUCCUGAAACUUCGGCUCAAUUUUAUCUAAUGAGGUAAUCAGUGAAUGGGCCAAGAAUAAAAGAAGCAUACUCCAGACUCUUUUAUUUUUCAUAUCCAUUGCUAAUUUUUUUCAAUCCAAAUUAGCACCGACACAAGUUAAAUCAUGCAAACAGUAUUUAUUACAUCAAUCACAUCAGCUAUGCAAGAAAAUGAUAUGUAACAGCUUAAAACAUCAAAGAUAAAUGAAUUUGCUCGAAAAGAAAGCAGUUCGUUUGGUUCAGUGAUUAUAAAUGGUUUAUAAAUCUUGGCUAUAGUGGAGGUAUCCGAAACAGUGUGGGCAAGUCUCUAUUAGUCAUCAGAACUUUUAAAACUUAUAAUUAACAACGGUGACUAACAACAUUUAAAAAAGACAAAUACAUAACAGCAAUUAAAUGUUUUCUGAAUAAAUUAAAUAAUUGAUAUGUACCUUACGAUCAUUUCCUUCAUUAGCAUGUCCAUCUUGUGAAAAGUAGGCCAAAAUCAAGUUCCCUAAAAAAGCUCCUAUAUCGAACCCCAUUGGACCGUAGAAAGCAAAUUCUGGAUCAAUAACCUGAGUUGAAUCACUAGUAACCAUGAUAGAACCAGUAUGCAGAUCUCCAUGAAUUAAAGCUUGAGCUCUCUCACAAAACCUACAUAGAAAGAAAAUCUGGCAAGACUUCAGAGAAAACAGCAAAAAUGCCCCUGAAAAACAAUGUAUUUGCAUAUAUAUCCCUACAGAUCUGAGAUUUUGUUUUAUAAUACCUCAUAAUUCUUACACAUAAAGCCCUUGUAGUUAGAAAUGUCGCGCUUCUCUAAUACAAAACCAACUUUACCCAUUAGUCGGAUUACCAUCAUAAAUUUGCACUUAAGAGGGCUAUAUACGAAACUACAGAUUUUAUAGGGGUAUACAUGUAAAUAGAUGAUUUUAGAAGAAUAUAUAGUUAGAAAGUUCAUUUUAAUAUUGCUUUAUACAUUGAUUUCAGCCCGGCUACUUCAAUCUUUAGAGCAUCAUCUUCCCGAACAGCUUCAGCGUCACGAUCAAGGUAAGGAGAAGUCCAACGAUUAAAGUGCGAAACCCUAUAAGGGUCUGAGAAAACUACUUGCUCGGUGAGCCUACAUAGCUCUAGAUUCCCGCAAAAUUCAGCUACUGCAAUUUGAAUUAAAGAAUGUGUCAAAAAGAUUUCUCUUAAUUAUGAAAUUAUGCUACAGAAUAUGUCAAGUAUGUCAAUUAACAGACAGCAAACUCAUGAAUUUCAAUUGCUAUGAACUGGCGAAUGUCGAAAUUACCUGCACGUCUAUGCUCUGCUGUAGAAUGAUAUAGAAGGGAAGUGAAGAAAAGUGUCUUUGCCAUAUAUUCUGACAUAUGCUCUGCAAGCAAUGGAUAUUCAAUUCCAGCAAUCAACCCUUUUCGGAGAAUAAUAUGGGGAGGCUCCAAGUAGCGCAUUCCAAUCACUGACAUAGACCUGUCAAAAUGAUAAACCUCAGGCACAUGAUCCGGGCACAGCCGGCCGUGCUCUUUUAACGCCAAUGCUUCGAAAUAUGCACGCUCCUUUGUCAUCGGCCAUGACUCGCCCACACAGCGGAUAUAUGGAAGAGCCUGUCUCAGCAUAAAUAAAAUUGAUCUGUAAGAAAAGAAAAUUAGGAACGGAACAAAAAAUUCUAUAGUACAAAAUUGUGACUCUUCAAAGAAAAUUGUUGCUGGUGAAUUCAUGACAUAAUUGAGUUGCAGGCUCGGCAUGCAUAUUUCUAAAGCAUUUCUUCCAUGGAGAUCACAAUCUAAAAGAAAGGGAUAAUCACACAAAAUAGGAAAGAGGAAAUAGGGACAAUCAUCAAUAUUCCACUAUUUCAGAACUUCGCAAGGCCGAUCUGUUGACCUGAUCCGCAAUCCUUGAAACAAGAAUGAUGUUUAUACUUCAUACAAAGGAUGUAUUGCCAAUCAAGGAUUUAAGUACCCAUCAGCACGGGCCGUAUCUACCGUACCACAUCAUGCCAAUAAGAUACCGGCACGAUACAACCCCCCUUACCGAUGGCACAGUUCAAAACCCUUUUUACUUUAAAUUAGUAAGUAAUUUUUUCAAUAAAGUUCAAAAAAAAUGAUAAAGAUACAUAAUAAGCAACUAGAAAAUUUUGUUAAUAAAGAAAAUAAAUUUUUCAUAUCAUUAUGUGUUAGCACAUGUGUUUUUUAUGACUGGCACGUAUCGAUACGGCCCGGCACGCACCAUGCUGUACCGUGCCAGCAAGUUUACGGCACGAUCACGUACCACGACACUUAAAUCCUUGUUGCCGGUCUAACUUAAUCAGGAAAUAAAACACUUUCAACUUAGCAGGCGUUUGGAUAGACAUAAAACAAAACCGAAAAAAAUCUGCCGCGAAGCAGUAAACUAAAUAUUUUAGGUAUUUGCUACAAAAGACAACUUUGAAGUUCGAACAUUUCUAAGGUGAAGAUGUUAUCUAGGAAUUUCGCUCAUGGCUAAGCAAACAGAUCUCCUCAACAUCGUCAUGGUCGACAGCAGAACUAAUGCUUUAAUUCUUAGGGGGCCAUCUAGUUUAAUGUAGCUGUAAAUACAGUGUAAUUGAAGAUGCAUGCAACUGGAGACGCAGCAACGGUACAUUUACAUCUAGUCUAUUUAGCAGUACAAAAUUGAGAACGAUUCAACUACAUUUUUAUUUCUUUUUUCCGUUUCUUUGGUUGCUUGUAGCUAAAACCUACAUUUGAUUACUCUCUCCGUCUCCUGCGUUUCCAACUACGCCCGAUUCGGGAUAUGUAACAAAAUUUUUGGGUUUCUCCGUAGUUGCAUUUGCAAUGCACUUUAAAAUACAAACAACAAUUACUUCGAUCCAAACACCCCCUUAUGCUCGCCACAACAACAACAACAACAACAACAACAACAACAACAAGAAAAAGGGGCAGUAUCGAUCUACAACUACACCGAGAUUCAUUUAUUUAUCAUGAUCAAACUAGAGAUUUAAUCGAAGGGGGAGGAGGGGGGGACCUGCUUGAGGACGAAGGAGCCGGCGGGGCCGAGGACGAUGUAGACGAAGUUGAGGUUGCCGUCGCCGACUUCCCUGAUUUCCACCCCGUCCAGCUGCCCGCCCCCCAGCCGCGCCGUCAGUGCCGGCGCCGACUUUAUGUACUCCACCACCGACUUCUCGUCCAGCGCGCGAAACCCGUCGCCGGAUUCCAUGCCUGCCGCAGAAUCUGCCGAGUUGGAAGUGGGGGGAAGGGUUUUAUUAGAGGAAGAAGAAGAAAAGGACGGAGGAGAUGGAGCGUUUGAUUGAUGACAAAAGAGGGUUCAUUGAAUUUGGCCCCUUUUUUUUUUUUUUUUUUCCUAAGAUGCCUCUUUGGUCGCUUUGAAUUUCGAGUACUGUAUGAAAAAUGCUGUUUGUGGGGAUAUUUUUUCAACACCACCUUAUAAAUUUUCUAAUUGGGUAAAUAAUUUUAUAAAUUUUUUCUUAAAUAUGAUAAAUGAUUCGCCCGAUUUUUAACAAUUCAUUGUCUUUCUAAUUUUUUUUUCACGAAUGGUGAAGUAGUCACUAUUUUUUGCUUAUUUACUGUUUCUUUCUAUAUCUCAUAUAUAAUCCUAAUAAUUAAGUUUUAAAGUGUCGUGACACGUGAAUAUGCCGUUAUAUCCCUAGUACGGUACUGCACAAGCACGCUGACGUGCCGAUAGAUACAUAUGACCUUCUAUUGGUAUGCUUUGGCACAGACUUUUUUAAGUUUUUUUGCUUCCAAUAAACUCUUAUGAUAUUAUUUUGAAAACUGUUAUUUUGAAAAUUUUAAAUAAAUAAUUAUGAAUAUUUACUAUAUAUAUUUUACUAUACUCAUCAAUUAACAUGCAUAUAAACUUUUUAUAAGUAAAGUACAACUAUAUCUGAUGUAAAAUAAAAAUUAAAAUAUAAUAAUAAAAUUUACAAGUACAAUAAUUAUUUAAAUUAAUAUCUCUAUAUAGAGAUGAUCGUCACGCUUAAUCAUAUGACAUAUUGUCAUCUGCAAAUAUAAAAUUUAUUUGAUAAUAUUAAUAUAAGUAUUGCUGGUAUUGUGAGAAAGUCAUAUAUUCUCGAUAUUAUAUUCAUAUUUUUGUUCUUUUAUUCUUUUUAAAAAUAUCUAAUCAAAAUUUGUUUAGAAGGUCAAUUUUUUUUCCCGUGAUUCACCUAAAGUUUCGCGGUGCAAUAAAUUUUGAAAAAAUAUUUUGCGAAAAAAAAGUGGAUGUCAGUGGUGGGCUGCGGGCUAGGGCCGAUGCAGUAUGGAUCGGAUAUGUUGAUACCCUAGAGAACAAAAGAAAAAAUAAAAAGCCAAAAAGAAAGCCAAAAAGGAAAAAAAAAAAAAAAGAAAAGAAAAAGGGCUGCACACGCACGGUACUUGCCGCCGACACGCACCUGCAUGCCGCUUUGUCUCCAACGACACACAUGUACGUGCCGCGAGACAGAGGGGAGGUUUCAAGACCCCCCUGUACUGUGCCCUCUUCUUGAGGGCACGGUAUGGCACGCCUCCGUACCGUACGGCACAGGCGGCACUUAAUUCCUUGCUAACAACUACAUAAAAAUUUUAACAAAUUAUAUAUAAUCUUAAUAACCUAAAAAUCCUAAUAAUCUAUUUAUAUAAUUCUAACAAUCAAAUAAAAAUUCUAAUAACCUACGUAUAAUCCUAGCAACCUCAUUUUUUUCUUAUAUAAUUUACGUACAAUUCUAAAGAUGAUGUAUCGUUAACCGUUUUAAUGAAUGCGGUUAACGAUUUCCAGUGUUUAAAAGGGCUAGGUGGCGAAGAGAGAAUUAGUUUGCCAAAUAUAAAUUUAGUAGGAUAGUUUCGUAAAUUAUAAAAUUUUAAAGAAUUAUUUUGUAAAAAAUUCCGUUUGCAACAGUAGGUCGGUCUGAUGGUUAGAAUGGAUGGGACUAACCUCGGAUUUUUUUUUUCAUAAUGAUACAUUAAUAAUUAAUAAUUAAUAAUAAGAAUUAGGCUGAAAUAUUAUUAAUAGCACCAAUGACUUGGUGCUAUUAAGUUUUCUGCCUUUGAAUUAAAAGAUGUGCGGUUAGGAUAAUGUGCGCUCUCUAGGGUUGAGUGGGUGGUUAGUUGAAUAGUAUAAUUGAAUGGAUGAAAAUGAUAAAAGAUGUAAAUCUAACGACAGAAAACUUGAUAACCAAAUGCUUUCUAGACUGGUCACUAUUUCAUUCCCAAGACAAAAAGUUGAGAGUUAAAUCAUCUUCUUUUCUUUUCUUUCUUUUUUUUUCUAAGAAACGAACGUACACUAGUUGGUUCUAGCCCGCCCUUGUUCGGCUUCUUGGCAGCCCUACUCUUAAUAGGAUUCAAAAAGAAAUUCUUGUUAUUAUUAUUAAGAGUCUCGCUGGGAUACUAUCGAUAGCACGAAGUAUUUGGUGCUAUCAAGUUUUCUGCUGUUAGAUUUACCUUUUUUAUCAUUUUCAUCCGUUCGAUUAUACUAUUCAACCAACCACCCACUCAACCCUAGAGGACCAUAAAAGUGAUUAAAAUUAUAUAUAUUGUCCGGGUUAUUCUAGUCAAUUAAGUCAAAAAUUUAUUCAAUUUAAUAACUCUAUUUGCAAUUAGCGGUUAAUUAUUCUAGUUUCCUUUUCCAUAAAAGUGAUUAAAAUUAUUAAAUUUGAUGGAACCAUCCACAAAAUUAGUAAAAUCUCUAACUUAUUUGGCUAAAAUCAUCCAAUUCUAUGAGAUAAAAAAAGUCAACAAGUGUCAAACAAACAAACAAACAAAAACAAAGAAACUUCGGGGAGCUAUAUGAGAAUAGUCCAUAGUUGAGGUAUCUCCCUACGUUUUUACCUUGGUUUCACUAUUAUCUGUUCAUAAGAUCUCUAAUUUAAAUAAAAAAAAUUGAUGAUUUUUUACUGCUUAAAAGUUUUUGGCUAACAACUUACAUUUCUACCUAUUCUUAGCUCUAGUUGGAACUAUUUUACAGUGUCAGAGAUCUUGUCCUAGUUUUAGUUUGAAACCAUAGAUUCCUUGUGUCCCAAAAGUCAACCUUUUGAUCAUAGUUACCACCUACUAAAUUGAUUUUUUGAAUACAUAAAUAAAAUAUGUACCUCUUUUAUACGGCAAAUUGAUAAUAGGAUAGCUAUGCAGUCGCAAAAGAUUUUUUGUUGUUUUGAGGAUUGUAUAUGGAUUAUCUUAAAACUCUAUUACUGACCAGAAGCAAAUUUUUAAAUCAUAAAUAGGACCAUUGUAGCACAAAAGUUGUAAGUAAAUAACUUACUCAGAUACCUAAUUAGAUUUUUUACCAACAAAUCUUAUCAAUGCUUCUUUUGUUUACUCAAAUGCCUCGGCAACGAGAAAUUCUAUUAUAUAACAGUCACACCACAUCAUCUAUAACCAAUCAAUCACAUCAGCAAUAUAACUUAUGCAUUCUAGAUUUUAUCCUUGGCAACACUGAUUGUAUCUAGCACAAUUGGCUAAGAGCUUGAUGAUUAAUAUGCGAGAUUCCAAAUUUAAAAUCUAAAUUGCUUCGUAUUCUAAGUUUAUUUUCUUAAAAAAAAAAAAAAGAAAGAUCAAUCUGAUAUAGUCUAGUUAGUAAAUUUAGACAUAGAAACAAGUUAUGAUAAGAUUAAAUUACGUGACCAUUUAUUUAUUUAUUUUUAGUUCCAUUGAGUGCAUUUUUUACAUUCAGAUAGUGGUCCUAUUCACCUAUAUUAAAUGGAUUAGUACAAAAAGGGAAAUGGUAAAAGGAACAAAAAAAAAAAAAAAAAAAAAAAAAAAAAAAAAAAGAAGAAGGUAAACUUCAAAUACCCUCAUGGUUCACAAUUUUUACUUUAAUACUUUGGGUUUAAAGUGUAUCAAGUUAGUCUCUGUAGUUUCGCACAUUCUCACUUUACGAUAUCCUGUGAUUUAAAGUGUAUCAAGUUAAUACCUUGUGGUUUCAUUUUUCUCUUUUUAUUAUCCAUUUCACUAAUUUUUUAUUAAAUCAGUGACAAAGUUAAAAUUAAAGGAUACUAACGUAAAUAUUCGACAAAACUAGUAGGUAUCUGAAGUUUUUUGUAUAUAAUUUAACAAUAUUAACGGAGAAAAAAAAUCAUUAACAAAGUUAAAACAAAGGUACUAAAGUAAAUAUUUGAUAAACCUAGGUAGGGGUAUUUGAAGUUUUUGUAUAUAAUUUAAUGAAUUAUUAUAGCGGAGCCGGCAAAAGAGAAAAAUGAAACCACAGGUACUAAAUGAUGCAUUAUAAACCACAGGGUGCUAAAGUGAGAAAGUGUGAAACACAGGAUAUUAAAUUGAUACACUUUAAACCACGGGGUACUAAAGUGAAAAAGCGCAAAACAUAUGGGUGAUAUUUGAAGUUUUUUCAAAAAAAUAACGAAACUACCCUCUUUCAAAAUGCAUAAAAAUACAUGUAUUAAAUAUUUUUAAAAAAUAUAACUGACAAAUAUUAUUAUAGCCACUCUUCCCUGAAAAAUAAAAUUCUUAUCUAAUAUAUAAAUAAAAAUUUAAAAUAAUAAUAAUAAAAGUAAUACUCCUUAAGUACAACAUUCUCUCUCAAAUAGUGCAAUAUUGUGUACACAUAUUGCAUGAUUUUACACUAAAUUAUGAAUAAUAUAGUAUAUUACGAAAAAUAGUAUAAUAUAUUAUAAUAUAUAAUAAAAUUAUGCAAUAUGUGUAUAAAAGUAUAUAUAUUGUAUUGAGAGAAUAUUACACUCUUUCAUCUUAUUAUUAUUUUUUUUGUCUUAAAUGAGAAUUCUCGUUUCUCGAAAAGACACACAUAUAUAUAUGAUAAAGUACAGCUAUUAGUGAUUAUCUAGAAGAAAGAUAUAUUAUUGAUACAUAAAAAUCUAGAUAGAAAAUAUUUUGAUUAUAGAAUUCUCCAUUUUUGUCUUAGAAAAAUAUCGAUAUUGAGACUUGGACCAAUACACAUAUCGGUACAAAAAUUAAUAAAAAAUACUAAACUGAAAAAAAAAAAAAAAAAAAACAAUUUGAAAAAAAAAAAAAAGAUAUUUUUUCUCUAACCUUUCAUCAAGAAAUCAGCCCAUCCAAUCAAAAAAGUAUUUCUUUGAUUUCACCCGUUUCGGCCUGUGCUUUAUAAAUUGCUUCGGCGCAAAAUAAAAAGCAGCUGUCAUUUCUAAAAAAUUUAACACUUUAUUUAAUAUAUAAUAUAAUUUAAUUUUUGGAAAGAAAAGUGCAUAUAAAAUUUAAACGGUAUAACAUUCUUUCAUAAUAGUACAAUGUUUACACAAAUAAUAUACAUAUUUAUACAAAUAGUGUAACAUAGGUACUGUUUAUACACAUAUUGCAUAAUUUUUAUAAUAUAUUACAAUAUAUUAUACUAUUUGCCAGUAAUAUACUUUAUUAUCCGUGAUUUAGUAUAAAAAUCAUACAAUAUGUGUAUAAAUGAUGCAUAUGUUGUAGUAUUUGUAUAAAUAUUGUACUAAUUGCAAAAAAAUGUUGUAUUAUUUGAGAGAAUAUUGCAGUAUAUAAGAAGUAUUAUAUUCUUUCUUUUCAUAUUAUUAAAAUUUUUAUUUAUAUGUUAGUUGAGAAUUUCGUUUUUCAAAAGAAAGAUAACAAUAAUAAUGAUUUGUCAGUUCUAUUUUUUAAAAUAUUUAAUGUAUGUACUUUUUAUGCAUUUUAAAAAAAAGAUAAUUUGAUCAUCUUCUUAAAAAAUUAGACCGAAAUUGCAAAAUCAAAAAAGAUGGUUCAGUUUUGUAAAAGCUCAAAACUUAGAGAAUUUUUUAUGCAAAUUGGCCAAGCCAAUUUAGAAAAAAUAAAGAAUUUUCAAGUUUCGCGUACAAACUAAAGAAAUGGUCAAAAUGAUAGUGACAUUAAAAAAAAAAAAAAAAAAAAGAAAGAAAGGGUGGCCAUGGUCAGAUCAGAACGGUUUCAAUUCAACCCGAUUUGGAUUCUUAACCCAAAUCCAACCCGAUAAAUAAUAAUAAUUAUUAAAACAAAAGAAAAUUUGUUAAGAAAUAAUAAAGAAAAUCAUUAAAUUCUUAAUAAAUUUCUUAAUAAUUAAUAUAUUAAGACAUUUAUUAAGAAAGAAUAAUAAAAUUUAUUAACAAAAGCAACUAGAAAUACAAUGUGCAACAAAGAAAAGAAGCACAAAAAGUACAAAAGUAUGCAACCAAUCAUGUAAUGCAUCUAAUAAAUAAUUAUAAUAAGUACAAUUAGGCUUUAAAAAAAACUCAAAUAAUUUCUUAGGUGAAUAAUAAGAAAAACAAUAAAAAUAAUAGUAAAGUUAGAAUACUUCAAAAUAAAUAAAAUCGCUUACUUAUACAUUAUUUCUUAUGAUGGGGCAUCUAACUUGAUGUUCAGUGCAGCUAAACUAUAUUUAGACUAUUUGAACUUCACAAGAAUUAAAUUUUGUAAUUUUUGUCAUCAUUUAUCUAGCGAUCAAAUAAUCUCGAAUUCACCACCACCAGCAUUGUCACUUUGUGACACUCCAAUUGUUAGUCAUUGAUAUCGAAAAUUUGUAAAAUUUGAAGCUUAGAAUGUUCAAAUAGCUUAUAUCAUGUUUAAGGGGCCGAUCGUCAAUUCAUACAACCCAUCACCGAAAAUAAUGCGAAGUAAAUAGUCUCAUACACUUCUUGAAGCACCCAAGCUUUACCCCGAAAAUAGAAAGUAAAAUAAAGCGAGUCCCUGAUGGAAAUGAAGAGAAAAAAAGGUUUGGAGAGCUUGGCUUGAUGUGUGUAUUCCAUCAAUCUUCUUCUUUUAUAAUCAUAACAAGGUUAGCAAUUCAAUAACAUUUGCGAGGCAAAUUUGAUAUAACUGAUCUUGCGCAACCACAAUAAUUCGAGAAAUAUCUGUUAUGCACUGAACUUCAGCAACUUGUGGAGUUCUAGUAAAAGGAAUGAUAUUCUAUACUAUUCUGAGAGUCUUGCUUGGGUUUGGAGAGCUUGGGGACUUUUUCAGAACCUAAUUAGCGCGAAAAUAGACCUCGGAGGCCGAAAUCUACAAAAGCUUCCCUUUUGGCUAUCGCUCACCCGUACCAAGUUCGAGUACCCGAACCUUGUUGUGCAAGGGUUGGCUCAGCUCUCGGAUUUUGCAGAACUCGGCUAAGUACCGGUACUGAACCAAGUUGUACCAGUAUUGAUUCGAGCGGGUACCGAAACACAAUAGAAACCAAAAAUUUCAAUGUUCGAGUUUUGCGGACCUGAACUCCUAGGUACCGAAACUGCCUAAAUACUGGUACUCCAGUUCGCUUACCAGUACUCAAUGGUGUAGAAAUUAUUUCGCACAGCUUGUAAUUUCUAGCUUUUGGAGGGGCUUCUAGGGAUAUUGUUACAUCAAGUAGAAGUACCCUUUCACCCCUCUCUUUUGCCAUUGUGGCUAAAGCUAGAGAGAGGAGGAGAGGUGACCCUCUUUGUACCUUGGAUCCUUCCCUCUAAUCCAUCUAACCAUGGAUUCAUCUUCGUCUCUUCAUUUCCUCCAUGGGUGCAAGUAUCUAGGCCUUAGAGGGGAGCUCGGGAUUGAAGGAAGGAACUUUUUUGAGGCUUGGACUUCAACCCUAACAUCUCAUAACUUGGUUGUGAGCUUGAUUUGAGGUUAGUAGCAUUGUUGCAUCUUCUAUUUGUGAGUUUAGAAAGAAGUUUUAGUAGGAAACCUAGUUUUGUGGAAACUAUGAUUUAUUUUUUGGAUUCUCCUAUUAGAAGCUUUUGGGAUAAAAUUGAUGAAUGUAGAACACUCUUGUAGGUUAGAUUUGAAACUCCAAUGCUUUAAUUUAGACUUUGAGCAAGUUUUACUUGAUCUAAGAUAAUUUUCACCUAUUUUCAUUUUGAUUUUGGUGAAUUUCAUGGUGAGCAUUUUAGAAACUUGUAACUCUUUGAAAUUUUUUUUUAGGGUGCAAGAAGUCUAAAGGGCAACUUCAUUUGUAAAACGAUCGAGUUUUCGACGAUUAUCCAGUAGAUUUGACCUUAUCGAAAUUGGUGAACUCUUUCUAUAUCUCCUAUCAUAUUAUAGAAUUCAAUAGAUGGUUUAAUAUGUUAUGCAUGACAACAUAAAAUUUUUGAGUAUACGGCAUAAUCAUUCUGUAUAUGAAAACUAGCAUUCUCUGUAUAGUAGAGGAUUAUGUAAUACGAACAUGCAUGUCAAGACAUGUGAAUUUGUAUUGGAUAUGAUAAUCUUCUUUUGCUCAAGUAUUUAUGCAUGCGAUAGUUGAGUUGUAUUAUAUAAAACACUGCAUGAUUAGUGGAACUAUUGGGCUAGAACUUCCAUGAAAAUUCUUUAUACUUGCUAUAGCUAAGAGGAAACAUUACCCAUUGCAUGUAAAUGACGGGUUGUAGAGUUAAGUAUUUUAUACUUAAACCAAGAUGAACAACUAGAUAUGACAUUAUGACAAUGUACUCGACUUAUAUGUCGUCAAUUGAUAUUUCAUAUUUUAGACAUGACAGAUGAGGUUUCAUACACAUUGCCUUUGUACUUAUUUGCACAAGCUUGUGAGGGUCGCUCCCUAUAAGCCAGCACUCCGGAGUUUAGCCUUUGCGACAUCAUACUCAUCCAUGCGGAAUUGGGCGCCAAAGUGGGAUGCCGUGGGCUAGGCUCAUUCUUAGAGAGGAAAUGUUGACUACCAUGGGACUAUUACGCAUGGCACAAAUCAGAACGUUAUCUUGUGUAAGUCCCCAUGAUUGGGAGAAAGUUAAUUGAACUUGACAAUUGUACAUCACAACUAAUUGAUACAUGCAUGUUAGUUAUACUUGUAAUUGAAUCUUUUACACUUGUAAGUAUGAUGAUAGUAAAACUAUAUAUAUGCUGAAUCGGCAUAGUCGUUUGGAGGUACUGUAGUAUUUAAACCUUUUUAUUCCAAUUACUAUAUCCAUACUUUAAAUUUUAGCUAUAAUCUAUCUUUAUCUCAGUUGACCUAGUGGUAUAAUUCGUUUUUCUUGGCGACUUACCAAUUGAAAACUAUUCUUUGAUAGUUCUCACCCCUUUUUUUUUUAUUUUAUUACAGAGUCUUUCAUAGCGAGAGAGGUUAGGAUCGCGACAAGAGUGCAGCAAUUAGCUAGAGCCUCUUGGUGUUGCUAUAGCUGGACCAUGACGCCUUUCUUUUAAUUUAUGUAGUGAAUGGUAUACAUUUGUAUAGGGAUCCCUUUGAAUUCAUGAGAUGUACCCUUUUGUAUUUAACUCAGGGAAAACUUCAAACCGCCCCCUAUGGUUUCGUCGUUUCUCAUUUUGCUCCCCUAUGGUUUAAAAUGUAUCAAUUUAUUCCCCUGUGGUUUCUUUUUUCUCUUUUUCUUAUCAAUUUUAUUAUUUUUUUUCUUAAAUCAAUGAUAAAGUUAAAAUUAAAGAGUACUAAAGUAAAUAUUUGAUAAAUCUAAAUGAGUAUCUGAAAUUUUUUGUAUAUAAUUUAAUAAAAUAUUAACAAAAAAGCUAUCGAAAAGAUAAAAACGAAACCACAGAGGGACAAAUUGAUACAUUUUAAACCACAAGGAGGCAAAGUGAGAAAUUACGAAACCACAGGGAACGUUUUUGAAGUUUUCCCUUUAACUUAUAAAUCAUCUUGUGAUGUAUUAUUUGAUAGUAGUAGUCAGUUUAAUUCUUAUUGUUAAGCUAUUAUGUCCUUGUGUAGGAUGUGUACUUUUUUCCUUUUCAUAUUAUUGUUGGACAGCCGUGUAUAUCGGGGGCUGCUUUGUGUACGCGACGAGUCUGUGCACAUACCAAAUAGACUUCCGCUGAAUUCGGGCGUGACAAUAUCAUUACACCACGCAUUAUUUUUAAGCACAUAGAAGUGGAAAGAUAAAAGUUUUCAAACAGAAACUCACAAUUUACUGCGAUAACACAAAAUCCUAAAAAUGUAAGCUAUUAUGGUUGAAUCUCCUGAAUCACCGAAAUGACUUGACCGAUGGUUUCGAAUUGGCGCCUUUCCUUCAGAAGCCUUCUACCACAGUUGAGAGCGUUACGCUCGCAAGAUGCUCGCUUGCUUGCAUCGGCGAUCGAUUCGAAAUCCUCAACAUGGGCUAUCCCCACUAUUCUCCUGCAUUCAAAACCAGUGUUCACUUCAAAUGUAAAAUUUCAAGUGCUGUAACAGAUAUUUUUGUUAAGGGGUGCGACGUCACGUGGAUUUUGUAAUGAAAAUUUCUUUUUAAAUUCAACAAGUUUGGUAGUCAGAUAAAUGAUAUUUAUGUAGUCUGAGAUGUUUAUAUAAUGAGAUUUAUAAACACAAGUCAAUAUGAAAGAUUAUGAGUGCAUAUUAAAUGCUUGUCUUAUUUGAUAGGCAAAAAAUACUCAGAAGGUGUCAAGUGAAGCAGUUUAUUUUGGAAAAGAGAGGUAAGUCGAAAACAAGUUAAGAAAACCAGAAUAUCUGAACAUAGCAUGAUCCUGAGAAAUGUAUCAUACCUUUUGUACAAAGCGGUAUACUAAGUAUCUAACUAAUGAUCAAAGACACUUUACUCCUUUUCUCAUGGUGUAGCCCGAAAAUAUAUUAAAGAAAAAGGAAAACUCAAAAAGCCUUUAGAGCGGCGAAUGGCUCGUUUCUCAAUCACUCGCCUACUUGCCAGCUCUUGUUAGCAAAUAAUUAUGCACUCCAAUGGAUAAACAAUUAACGACUAAGAUGUUAUUUUGAUGCAUAUAGAAUAUGUUUCAUCUACGACGAAUAUUUACGAGAUUACGGAUGUGUAGCUUUUUAUUGGCUCUCAUGUUAUGCAGAAACUAUAUCAAACUCCUCUAUAAAGCAUAGAUAGUUGAAAAUACUUUGACCUUUCUGUCGGGAAGAUAGAUAAAUUUGGAAAAUUUAAGGAAGAAUCCACCUAACAAAACAAAUGAGAAGUAAACUUUUUUUCUAAGCUUGAGCUUGGUAAUUUCAGUACCGCACAAUAUGACGAAGAUCAGAAUCUGGAGAAUUACCUUAUCAUUUUUGCAGCACCGAAUCCAAGAGCAUCAUGAAAUAAAUCUUUCAUGUACUUUUGCUGGAGAGAAAUCUGAAGUUCUGGCUUGUUGUAUAUUGAAAUUGGAUAUGCUUCACCCUUCCCAUCUUUGUGUUCGUCCCAACGAGAAAUGAACUUCUUCUGGAAGAGAUCCCAAGUUUCUGCAAUCGUCCUUAAGAUCCGUUGCUUGUAUGCCUACAAAAAUUGAUAGAUAAAAAUUUAACCAAGAGAACAACCAGUCCCAGAUAUUACAAUACUAGAAUGAUUUUUGAAUCAGCUGCUGGAGCUUGAAACCAGCUUUGCUGGUUAAUGAGGCCGGCCGUGUUUGAAAAGUUGCGCCUUAGGCGCGCACUUCCGCGCCUAGGCGCGAGACGCAAGUCUCAGCGCCUCAGGGAGUGAGGCGCGCGCCUCAGACGCGUCUCAUGAUAUUUACGCUCAACGUAUCUAGGGUUUGGGCUUUCGGGUUUUCAUAUUCUAAAAUGUUAAGAAAUUUUUUAGAAAAAUUCCUAAUUGAACACUUUCUUUCUCUUUUAUCUUGGUCGUGCUCUCUUUCAACCCCCCAAUGGCAAUAAGUAGCAGCGGUGAAAAGAAAGAAGCAGCAGUAAAUACUUUUAAGCUUAAAGUUGAAACAUUUUUUUUUUAAUUUUUAGGCUGAGAACAUUAUGCAUGCGAUUUCUUUACUUUUUUAUAGUUAUUUUAUUUUUGUAUAGCUAUUUUAGAAUUUUUUAACAUAAAAUGUCCAUUUAAAGCAGGCUUGUUAAGAGUGUUUUAUUUUUAUUAGAUAUGCGUCUCACCUUCUAGAGGCGCGCGUCUCGCGGUGCGCCUCGCGCCUAGGCUCCACAAGGCCUUUGGGCCUUUUUGCGCGUUGCGCCUUUUCAAACACUGGAGGCUGGUUAAUAGUACAAUGUGAGGUAGCUAUUCAAUAGUAGUUAAAGGGCCUUUUGGGAAUAUCAGUGCAAGAAUUUCAUAUCACAAAUCAAACAUGCCCAAACAAAAGGUUACAUUGUUACACAACAUCAGAGGGUUUCUGAUAAUUAGAUUCCAUACAUUCACGGAUUUAACAGCCCAUCGGCAAAGGCCGUGCCCAUUGUGCCAUACCGUGCUAGCAUGACUCAAACUCUCUUUUCUUUGAAAUUAGCAAGUAAUUACCACAAUAAAGUGCAAAAGAUUUGAUUAUGUUAUGUAAGAAGAGAUUGGAAUAUAUUGAUGCCCAAAAAAAAAAUUAUUUUACUCCAUAUGACAACUUAUAGACAGACAUGCGUACAUAAAUUUAGAUGUUAACAGAUAUACAGAUUUAUAUAUAUAUGCUAGACCUUUCUUGAUCACAUGCACGGCAGCGCGAAACACAUGAGAUAUUUGCACAUAAGGUAGGGUAAUUAUUGUUGAUCUUGAAACAAAAAAAAAAAGGAAAGGAAAGGCUCACGGCCUCUCUUCAUGAGAUUGUCACACUUGUAGAUCCAAGAACUUCUAUCUCUUUACAGAUGAGAUUGACAGAGGUAUAAGAUCUAGCACCUGGUGAGACCAAUGCUAUCCCCACCUUCACAUAUAAAAGAUGAAGCAAAAGGGUAUACUAAAUAAGCGACGCAAUCCAACAAGAAUGACCACCUACAGAGACCAUCCAGCGCCUAGAUCAUAGCAGUCGCAUGUAUUAACACUUGCUGAUCUUCAUUACUAGUUUUUCUAAACAGAUAAGCGGCGGCAGGUCAUAGAUUUAAGAGUCAAAUGCGUAUCAUUGGAAUAAGAAAUCUGAGUCUUCUAUCAAGAGUUGUAGGGCUAUUCAUUUCAAAUCUUUUUGUCCUUUCAAUUCAACAUGAGAACCAACUCCUGAAACUUUGGCUAAAUUUUAUCUAAUGAAGUAAUCAGUGAGUUUUAAUGAUGGGCCAAGAUUAAAAGAAGCGUACUCCAGACUCUCUUUUUUUUCAUAUUCAUUGUUAUUUUUUUCCCAUACAAAUUAGCAGCAACACAAGUUAAAUCAUCCAAGCAGUAUUUAUCACAUUAAUCACAUCAGCCAAGCAAGAAAAAGAUACGUAACAACUUAAAACAACAAAGACUAAUCAAUUUGCUCAAAAAUAAAGCAGUUCAUUUGGUACAGUGGUUAUAAAUGGUUUAUCAAUCUUGGCUAUAGUGGAGGUAUCUGAAACAGUGUGGGCAAGUCUCUAGUAGUAAUCAAAACUUUUAAAACCUAUAAUUAACAACUUUGACUAACAACAUUUAAACAAGACAAGUACAUAACAGCAAUUAGAUGUUUUCUGAAUAAAUUAAAGAAUUGAGAUGUACCUUACGAUCAUUUCCUUCAUUAGCAUGUCCAUCUUGUGAAAAGUAGGCCAAAAUCAAGUUCCCUAAAAAAGCUCCUAUAUCGUACCCCAUUGGACCAUAGAAAGCAAAUUCCGGAUCAAUAACCUGAGUUGAAUCACUAGUCACCAUGAUAGAACCAGUAUGCAGAUCUCCAUGAAUUAAAGCUUGAGCUCUCUCACAAAACCUACAUUCAAAGAAAAUCUGGCAAGACUCUAGAAAGAGAGCUCAAUGUCAAAUAUUUGGAGAAAACAGCAAACAUACCCCUGCAAAACAAUGUAUCCCUACAGAACUCAGUUUUUAUUUUAUAAUACCCUCUAUAAUUCUUAUGCAUAUAAGCCUUUGUAGUUAGAAAUGUUGUGCUUCUCUAAUACAAAACCAACCUUACCCAUUACUUCAGAUUUUAUAGGGGUAUACAUGUAAACAGAUGAUUUUGUAAGAAUAUAAAGUUAGAAAGUUCAGUUUAAUAUUGCUUUAUACAUUGAUUUCAGCUCGGCUACUUCAAUCUUUAGAGCAUCAUCUUGCCGAACAGCUUCAGCGUCACGAUCAAGGUAAGGAGAAGUCCAACGAUUAAAGUGUGAAACCCUAUAUGGAUCUGAGAAAACUACUUGUUCCGUGAGCCUACAUAUCUCUAGAUUCCCGCAAAAUUCACCUACUGCAAUUUGAAUUAAAGGAUGUGUCAAAAAGAUUUAUCUUAAUUAUGAAAUUAUGCUACAGAAUAUGUCAUGUAUGUCAAUUAACUGGCAACAAAUUUUUGUGAACUGGUGAAUGUCAAAUUUACCUGCACGUCUAUGCUCUGCUGUAGAAUGAUAUAAAAGGGAAGUGAAGAAAAGCGUCUUUGCCAUAUAUUCCGACAUAUGCUCUGCAAGCAAUGGAUAUUCAAUUCCAGCAAUCAAUCCUUUUCGGAGAAUUAUAUGGGGAGGUUCCAAGUAGCGCAUUCCAAUCACUGACAUAGACCUGUCAAAAUGAUAAACCUCAGGGACGUGAUCCGGGCACAGCCGGCCGUGCUCUUUUAAUGCCAGUGCUUCGAAAUACGCACGCUCCUUUGUCAUCGGCCAUGACUCACCCACUAAGCGGAUAUAUGGAAGAGCCUGUCUCAACAUAAGUAAAAUUGAUCCACAAGAACAGAAAAUUAGGAGCGGAACAAAAAAUUCUUUAGUACAAAAGUUUGACUCUUCAAAGAAAGUUGUUGUUGGUGAAUUCAUGACAUAAUUGAGUUGCGAGCUCGGCAUGCAUAUUUGGAAUGCAUUUCUUCCAUGGAGAUCACAAUCUAAAAGAAAGGGAUAAUCACAAAAAAUAGGAAAAGAGGAAAUAGGGACAAUCAUCAAUAUUCCACUAUUUCAGAACUUCGCAAGGCCAAUCUGUUGACCACUCGACCUGUAUCCUUUAUAUAAAGGAUGUACCGCCGGUCUAACUUAAUCAGGAAAUAAAACACUUUCAGCUUAGCGGGCGUUUGAUUAGACAUAAAACAAAACCGACAAAAUCCGCCGCGAAGCAGUAAACUAAAUAUUUUAUCUAGGAAUUUGCUUACAAGAGACAACUUUGAAGUUUGAACCUUUCUAAGGUGAAGAUGUUAUCUAGGAAUUUCGCCCAUGGCUAAGCAGCAGAUCUCCUCAACAUAGUCAUGGUCGACAGCAGAACUAAUGCUUUAAUUCUUAGGGGGUCAUCUAGUUUAAUAUAGUUGUGAAUACAGUGUAAUUGAAGAUGCAUGCAACUGGAGACGCAACAAUUGAGAAUUAUUCAACUACAAUUUUUUUUUUUUUCAUUUGUUUGGUUGCUUGUAGCAAAAAGCUACAUUUUUCAGAGCUUGUUAUUUUUAUGCAUGGGAUGGUGAGAUUACCCCUGGUUAUGAAUUACUCUCUCCGACUCCUGCGUUUCCAACUACGUCCGAUUUUGGGUGUAGGUCCAAUUUGCAAUAUGUAACAAAGUUUUUGGGUUUCUCCGUAGUUGCACUUGCAAUGCAGUUUAAAAUACAAACAACAACAGGUAACACCCCUACCAAUUUUGAUUUCGGUUGAAUUACAAUUACGUCGAUCCAAACGCCCCCUUAUGCUCGCCGCAACAACAACAACAAAAAGGGGCCGUAUCGAUCUAACAACUGCACCAAUAUUUGUUUAUGUUGGAAGCGUGAUUUUUUCUGAUACCAAUUGUUGGAACAAGUAUUUGUGCUGAUAUUGAUUAUGUAAUACAGAAUCUAAAAUAGAAUAAAAUAAUAUGAAGAAGAGAUAUUGUGGGAGAAAGAAGAAAACUAAACUAAUACUUAAAAGCAUUUAAUUACAUCCUGGGCGACACGCUCGGCCUUAUCCAGUCAUAUCUACUAUGGCUUGUUCAUCCAAUUAACACAUGUCUAACUAUAUAUAGCUAUCGGGUCAUAACAAAUGAUAAAUCCAACACUUACUUUGGAUAAUUACAAAUAUCCUACUAUAAUUACAUAAAUAAAUGACUUAAAACUUAUCUCUGACAAUAUAUUGUAAUUAAGUUUGGAUUAUUAUUCCAACAGUUUAUUUAUCAUCAUUUAUCAUGAUCAAACUAGAGAUUUAAUCACAACCGUUUGAUCUGAAAAGGGGGGACCUGCUUGAGGACGAAGGAGCCGGCGGGGCCGAGGACGAUGUAGACGAAGUUGAGGUUGCCGUCGCCGACUUCCCUGAUUUCCACCCCCUCCAACUGCCCGCCCCCCAGCCGCGCCGUCAGUGCCGGCGCCGACUUUAUGUACUCCACCACCGACUUCUCGUCCAGCGCGCGAAACCCGUCGCCAGAUUCCAUGCCUGCCGCAGAAUCUGCCGAGUUGGAAGUGGGGGGAGGGCUUUUAUUAGAGGAAGAAGAAGAAAAGGACGGAGGAGAUUGAUGAAAAAAGAGGGUUCAUUGAACUUGGACCCUUUUUUUUUUUUUUUUUUUUUUUUUUUUUUUUUUUUUUUUUUUCAAGGACCACUCGUGUGGCUUCACAGUUUCUCAAUUUAAUAUCAUGUAAUUUAAAAUAUAUCAAUUUAGUAUCUUGUGUUCCUUUUUUUUUAUCUUUUUAUUCUCAAUUUUAUUAAUUAUUUUUGUUAAAUUAGUAACCAAGUUAAAACUAAAAAUACUAAAAUAAAUAUUCGAUAAACCAAGAUGAAAUAUAUAAAAUUUUUUGUACAUAAUUUAAUAAAAUAUUAACAAAAAUACUGUCAGAAAGAUAAAAAUAAUAUUUUAAAUUAUAAUAUACUAAAGUGUAAAAAUACGAAAUCAGAUGGAUGGUAUUUGAAGUUUACCCAUUUUUUUUAAGAUGCCUCUUUAGUGGCUUUGAAUUUCGAGUACUGUAUGAAAAAUGCUGUUUGUGGCGGUGCUAUAAUUGGUGGGUCCGAUGAUUGGGAAUGGAUGGGAUUAACCUCGGAUUCGAGUAAUUAAUAAUAAAAAGGUAAACUUCAAAUACCACCCUUAGUUUCACACUUUUUUAUUUAGUACUUCAUAAUUUAAAGUAUAUCAAGUUAGUGUUCUGUAAUUUUAUUUUUAUCUUUUCGUCAGCUUUUUUGUUAAUAUUUCGUUAAAUUAUAUAAAAAAAAAACUUCAGAUACCCUACUUAAGUUUAUCAAAUAUUCUUUUUAGUACUAUUUAGUUUUAACUUUGUCACUAAUUUAACAGAAAAAAUUAGUAAAAUCGAUAAUAAAAAAUAAAAAUAAAAUCACAGGACACUAAAUUUAUACACUUUAAGCCACAUGGUACUAAAGUGAGAAAGUGUGAAACCACAAGGUGGUGUUUGAAGUUUUUUCUAGUAAAAAUACAGCAAUUUCUUAUAUAUCUAUAAAAAGUUUUUGACUUUCAUACUUAAUUUUAAAAAUACUCUUUUAAGAUUUCAAAAUCUUUAAAAUAUAUUUCUAGAGGAACUAGGCUACUAUACUAUCGGUAGGACGGAGCGCUCCGUGCUACCAAGUUGUUUUCGAUGAUGCGGCUUCCAAAUCGAUGAUCGGCUCUGUUAGACUUGAUCUACACUAUUGAAAGUAUUUAGAAACUAAAUUUCAUAAUUUUUCGAUAUCAUUUACCUAUCAAACAAGUAGUCCAAAAUUGAACAGCUGAAAAUAAAAAUCUCAUGAAAAAUGAUGAUAAAAGAUUUAAAUUCAAAAUCAGAUAUACUGAUCUUACUCUAAAUAGUGAAAAGAAUUUUCUAUAAAAUUUUCAUCGCAUUUGGAUUGUUUUUUACACCGUUAAACUCACAAACACACCACAUCGGCCAUUAAAAUUGUCAAUUUUGAAAUCUUUUGAUCACUAGUCAAAUGAUGUUGAAAAAAUAUGAAAUUAGUUUCCAAAUACUUUCAAUAGUGUAGAUCAAGUCUAACGAAGUCGAUCGUCGAUUUGGAAGCCGCAUUAUCGAAAACAACUUGGUAACACGGAGCGCUCCGUGCUACUGAUAGCAUAGUAGCCGGACUCUUUCUAGAGUUAAAUUUUAUUAUUGAACUUUUAGAAAUCGCCGUUAUUUCUGUAAAAUUUUUAUUUUACCUUUUCAAAUAUACCUUUUUACCGUCACUAACUUUUUUUAUUUCCCCUAAGUUAAGGGUAAAAGUAGUAUUUGACUUUUUGUCUUGUGAAAUAUAUCCUUCUAUUAUCAUCAAUUUUUUUUUUUUGAGAAUAGAUUAUCAUUAAUUUUUUUUAAUUUGCCCUUUAGUUAGGGACAAAAUAGAUAUUUUUACUAUUUUUUAAUUAUGGUAGAAAUUUAAUUGAGAUUUACUUAAAUCCGGUAUGAUUUAAUGGGAAUUAACAGGGGGGUACUUUUGAAUAACCAAGAAAUAUGUGAGGAGUAUAUUUGAAACCCAAAAAAAUAGGAGUUGAGGUAUUUGAAAAGUUUUAAGAGGUAUAUAAAUAAUUUUCUCUAAUAAAAUUAACAAGAUUUUUUAUUUUUAAUCCUAUUAAGUGUAGGGCUGUGAACGAGUCCAACACCAACGCGUUAAGAUCGGCUAGUGUUCUUUCGUUUAUUAACCAAGCCAAAUACAAACUCAAUUUGUUAAAAUAUCGAGCUAAAAAUUCAGCUCAUAUUCUGCUUAUUUAUUAAUAAGUCAAAUAUGAAUUGACUCGCAAACAGCAAAUUAGAUUGUCAACCUUACAACUGGAUAAAAAGUAAAAAAAAAAAAAAAAGAUUAAAAAACUAGAUUAUUAAUAUGAUAAUUAAAAUUUAUAAAAUAUAGACCUCUAUAUUUGGGUUGGCCAGAAGCUAUAUUGAGUCGAACACGAACGAACUAACUCUAAAUCGUGUUUGGCUCGUUUAUUAAACAAGUGAUCGAUCUUGAGCUCAUUUCAAACUGGAUUGCCGGCCCUAAUUAAGAGCAUAAGUAGCAAGCUAUAUCAUGCAAUACUACUAAUAUACAAUACUCUCACCGACCGUUCCUAGAGCAACUGACAAAGGGCUUGAUGGUUGGUACCCGAGACCCAAGUUCGAAUCCUAGUUGAUUUAUAUUUCUAGCUAAGUUUAUUUCUAAAUGAAAUAAACGAAGCGGGUAGCAUGCUUACAAGUACUAAUUACUGGGCACAUAUUGUUUAAGAUGUCAAAUAUUUAAAGGAAAAACUUCAAAAACCCCCCGUGGUUCCGACCGUUUUCACUUUAGUACCCUGUGGUUUAAAGUAUAUCAAUUUAGUGCUCUGUGGUUUCAUUUUUCUUUUUUUAUUAUCCAUUUUAUCAUUUUUUUUCUUUAAUCAGUGACAAAAUUAAAAUUAAAGAGUACUAAAGUGAAUAUUCGAUAAACCUAGGUGGAUAUCUGAAGGUUUUUGUAUAUAAUUUAACGAAAUACUAACGAAAAAGCUGACGAAAAGAUAAAAAUGAAACCAUAGGGCAGCAAAUUGAUACACUUUAAACCACAGGGUACUAAAGUGAGAAAGUGCGAAACCACAGGAGUUUUUUUUUGAAGUUUCCCUAUAUUUAGAAUCAAAGUUGGCAUGUUUCGUGCAAGAUCUAGCAUUAAAUUGGUCUCACAUUUAGUAAUGUUUAAGUAAUAAAAGCUUUGUGGUGAAGAAUAAUUUUAUUGAUUGAUUGUUGUUCUAAUAAUUUUAGAUUGUUAUUGUACACGUGAGGUUUAAUUGGACUGGACCAAACCAAUUAGAUGUUGAGCCUGUUUGGAUGCAUGAAUCGAGUGAUUGAAACUCGAAUGACAAAAAUCGAUACGUACGAAAUUAACCUUAUUUUGAGGGCAAUUUCAAACAAACCCCUCAAAAGUUAUAAAAUAUCAUAGUUGCCCUUUUAAAUUUAUCAAUAUUAUUUUUAUCCCUAUAAAUUAAUGAAUUAUAUAAAAAAAAUGCUCUUCAAUGUUAAUCAUUGAUUAAAAAUUUUAAACUAAUUUAUCCAUUGUUGUACCUAAUUAUAAAUAACUAUGUAGUAUCAUAUAGGGCUAAUAAAUUAAUUUUUUAUCAAAACAUAACUAAGUUUUUAUUUAUGAUUCAAUUUAUGAAUGCAUUUUUUUUUUUUUGCACUCAAGUUUUCAUUUUUAUCAAUAUCAUAUGGGUCACAUGUUUAAUCAUAAUAAACAAUUAGAUGAAGCUAAAACUAUAUUACACUUUUGUGAGNAAUAUCUAUCAAAUUAAAACUAAUUAAUUGCAACAAACUACACUAUAUAAAUAGCAAAUAAAAAAAUCAUAGACAAAAUAAAAAAAAAUAGACUCACUCAAGUUUUCAUUUUUAUCAAUAUCAUAUGGGUCACAUGUUUAAUCAUAAUAAACAAUUAGAUGAAGCUAAAACUAUAUUACACUUUUGUGAGUCUAUUUUUUUUUAUUUUGUCUAUGAUUUUUUUAUUUGCUAUUUAUAUAGUGUAGUUUGUUGCAAUUAAUUAGUUUUAAUUUGAUAGAUAUUUAAUUGUAUUUACAAUUUCAUCAAACAAAAUAAUGUAUAAGUUAAUUAAAAAAAUAUAGAAAAUAAAUGAUGGACAAAUGAAAAUUUUAUUUAGUUUUUUAGUAAAUUGUUAUCAAUUUGGGUACUUUUGAUAUUGACACUCUAGAGGGGUAUCUUUGUAAUUUAACGUUUUUGUUGUUUGGUUCGCCGUAAAAAAUUUACGGUCGGAACUCGAGUUAAUCUAAAAUGACGUAAUUGACUUCAAUACAUCGUGGCCGAAGUCAAUUACGGUGAAGGAAAGGUGAAGAAAAAAUAAUAAAAUAAUACACUAGGUAAAGAUAGUUAUAUUUAAAUAUAUUUAAUUAUGGUACUAAUUACUCUUUUAUCCGGUUGGUAUAUUUAAAAUAUGAUAAGUUAAAAUAUGAUAAGUUUUAAUUUUUUUUUAUUUUGUUUGUACAAUUAAAAUAUGAUAAAAAUUGAUUAAUUGAGUAUUAAUAUUUUUUUACUUUAUAAUUUUAUUAUUGUAUUACUAUAAUUUAUGUAUAAAAAAUAAUUUAGUUAUUUCAAAUUAAAUUUUAAUUAUAAAAAAUAAUUAUAUUAUUUUUAUUUAUUAAAUUAUUUAUUAUUUAUAAUUUUAUAUCAUAUAUUUCGUACUAAACAAACAGCAGAAUUAAUAAAACUUCACUUUAUCACUACAAAACAAACAACAGAAAAAAAUAGUUUUUAUUGAACUCCACUUCAACCUUAAAUUCGCUUCAACCGAAAGUCCAGUUUCAGUGAAACAAACAUGCCCAAAAUUGAAGUGCAUUCGGAAGUCGUGAGAUCAUGUCCUAAUUCUCAUUUACAAGCAUUCCCUAGCAGGAAAAAAUGGUGUCACGCGCAUAGUUCGUGCUUUUCUAGUUUAAUAUGAAGUAUGAAUAUCUAGAAGUUUUUCAUCAAGAUCUUUCUCACAACUACGUGAUGAAGCUGCAGUAGUAAAAGCUUCUAAUCAGAAUUUCUUUUCUAUAAUUCAAAUUUCAUGUCGACUCUCAACUAUAAUCAGAUUCUCAACUAAAAUAGACUCAUAACCGAAUGAGCGAAAGACUCUUUUAGUUCAGAGAUAAAAACGGUCAAAUAUGGUUGGAUUUUUUAAGAAACUAUAUUCCCAUCCUUUUUUUUUUUGCAUAUAAAUGUUAGAUUUUGACAUUCAUAUUCGCAUCCAAUCUAAUUUAAUGUCGAAUUCGAUCAGAAUUUACCUAGUAACAUCUCAAAAAUCAUUUUUUAGAAAUGCUAACGAAUGAUAAAUUAUUUUCACAUCCAUCAUAUUGGGCCCUAACGGGCGAGCCGAGCGGAUUAUGAAUCGACCAUUAUAUCCACCCGGCCCAUGGCACAGCACGGCACGGCACGGCACGACACCAUGCGACAGGAAACACUACUUUUAAUCUCAGAGCACUAAACCAUUAGCCAAACAACUACGACCCUUAAAAGCAGCAUUUACACAUCUUUAAAGCUUUGUCCUCACGCUAAAGUCCAAGACCCAAUUUGUACAAAACUACAAAUAUAUUACACCCCAAGAGAUAUUCUUAUCUAGACCCGAUCUACCACGUCAUCCAUCGACCGAGUCAUUUAAAACAGUUUCUACGUGGGUUUCCCACAUAUUUUAUUACAAUCCAACCACGUGUCCCAUGUUGAUUGGCUAGGACCUGGCACAGCAUCUAAUAUUAAAAAGUCUUUUUUACAAGAAAUUAUUAAUUUUGAAAGUGUAUUACAUAGGAAUCAAAAAAAUUUACAACUUAAUACUAUAGAAAGUAACACUAAUUAAUUAUUUAAAAAGGUUAAACACAUCCCAACUAACCAAACUUUUUAUUAAUUAGUCUGCAAACACCCUUUUAAUUUUUGAAAAGUUUUACAUUUGCCAUCUAAACUUUUACGAUUUUGUAAUUAAUUAUUUCAUUAAUUUAAAGAACUAAUAGACAAAAAGGCUAUUUUAUAUCGUCGGCAUGUGUUGUUUGUUAUAUUUUUAUUUUUUGAGUCGAAUAUAAAUUGCUAUAAUAUAAAUAUAAGUCAUUAAUUCCAAAUUUUAAAAUUUUGGGUUGCAAAUAUAAAAUUUGUAAAAUGAAAAAAAAAAUAGAUAGUUCUGAUAUAUUUAUUGCUGACUAAAAUAAGUAUUUAAAGUGUUAUAAUUUUCAGGACAUUAGCUCAAGUAGUGUAGUACAUUCAUAAACCUCCACAAUCGAAUGUAGAGCAAUAAUACAUGUGCAUUCAAAAGUGGGUAUAAAUUUUAGGCCAUACUUAUCAAAGGUUUAUAUUAUUAAGCUUUUCUUAUCACACUCUUAUUUUUUUAAUACUGAAUAUUAAAAAACAUUGUAUAUACUUUUAGGCUGUAUUUGAAUGUCAGAAUAAAAUAUCUAACAAUAAUUUAAUUAUUUGGUAUAAAAUUUUUUUUAGCUUGAAUGAAAAUUAAUUAUUUUGUUUUUAUUUUUUAAACAAAUCUUAGUAUUUGUGAUUUAGUAGAAUAGUAUACUUUACCUAAAAAUUUAUUUAUUUUAUUUCAAAAAGUAAUCUAAACGAUCAAUAUAGUGUUUAUUUUAAACAUUUCGUAAUAUUUUUCAUUGAGUUAAUUACACUAUUGGUCCACAACCUUUGUAUUUCUUUUUACUUUAAUUUACUUUUUUUUUUUCAAUCAAGUGUUUAACUACUUGAUUUUAUUACGAUUAAGUCCCAUACCAAAAGUUGGGAACCAAGGGUGUAAUUAACUCAUUUUCAAUUUAUCAAAUACUGUAUAAUUUAUACUCUAACUUUGGUGUCGGGUGUGAAACGUACGUACACCGGGCGCAGGGAAUAUUUCUCCACCACGUUUAAAGGGCAAGCAAUUGGCCAAAUUGGUAACGGCGAAACGAGACGACGCUCAAUCCCCAAAAUCCCCAAAUCAACAAAGAAAUCGAAGAUCGUGAUCGAGAGAGAGAGAAAGAGAGAGGAAGAGAGAAGCGCGAAGAAGCUUCGGGAAGAGGCGGCGGAGGGGUCAGCGCCGGUGCCGGUGCCGGUGCCGGUGCCGGAGCUGGGGGAGGACGCGAUCUACGAGGUGCUGCGGCGCGCGGACGCGCGGACGCUGGCGGCGGCGGCGUGCGUGAGCCGGCGGUGGCGGCGCCUCGCCGCCGACGAGCGGCUGUGGGAGGCGGCGUGCGUCCGCCACUGGGAGGCCGCGCGCGACUACGGCGGCGCCCGCCUCCGCCCCGUCGUCCUCGCCCUCGGCGGCUUCCGCCGCCUCCACUCCCUCUACCUCGCCCCCCUCCUCCGCCCCCCCCACCCCUCCCCCCCUCCGAUCGCCGCGUCUUCGUCGUCCCCGUCUCCGAUCGCCGCCUCCUCGCCGUCCCCGUCUCCGAUCGCCGCGUGGCCGAUGGAGCGCGCCGGCGCCGGCGAGGCCGAGGGCGGCGCCGGCGGCGGGGGGGAGGAGGUGGGGGAGGGAUGAGGUGCAGCUGUCGCUGUCGCUGCUCUCGAUAGGGUUCUUCGAGAGGAUGAGCGCGGGGGAGUACAAAGGAGGAGGAGGAGGAGGAGGAGGAGGGGAAGGGGACGGGAGAGGGUAGAGUCACUGCCGCUCCGGAUCGGAACCGGUAUGGUUACCGCCUCCUCUCUCCUCCUCCUCCACCUCCCCUAUCUCACUUUUUCUUUUUUUCUUUUUUUCUUUUUUUGAAGUUAAAUUUUGAUUGGAAAAUGGGUAGGGUCACCGCCCCGUUCACCGCAUCGGGUAUGCUUACCGCCUCCCCCUCUCCCUCUCUUCCUCUUGUCGUAUCUUUCCCUUUUUUUCUAUGUGCUUUUUUUUUUUUGUUUUUUUGUUUUUUUAUGUUUUCACUUAAUUUUGAGGAUAAAUAAGCAUACUUUUGGUUCUCAAACUUUAAAGCGUGUCACGUUUUGAUCCUCAAAUUUUAAUUUACUAUAGUUAUUGUAAUUUAGUACAAUUGAACUGAAAAUUAAAGUUAAAAAUUAUAGUAAAUUAAAGCUUGAAGAUCAAAAUCUCACACACUUAUAGUUUGAGGACCAAAAGUGUAAUCUAGCCUAUUUUUUAUUUGAAAUUUCUCUCUCUCUGUGUGCUUGUGUGUGAUUGUUAUGGGAUUAAUGUGUUUCUUCUUGUAAUAUCUAGUGUUGUAUAAUAUCAUUAAUAUUAUGCAGUGAUGAAUUAUGCUCUCUUUUUUUCUUCUAAUUAAAUACCAUCAAGAAGAUAAAACUAAUUGAAAUUAUAUAUUCAUGUAAAAAUCAGCAUUAACAGGUUGAGCUCUUCACAUUCAUCAGUUAAUGACUUGAAUUUUUGUCACUUAUGGCGUAAUAUUUUCUAAAUUUUUUUUCAUUUUAGCACAAAUGAGAAUGUUAAGAACAUAAAUUAGUUGUUUGUUUUGAAAUUGCAGAAUAUUAAGAUUGCAAUACUUUUUCUAUGUUUACAUAGUUUUGCUGUAUUUGUAAGUGAUGCAAUUAUGGGAUCAUUUUAUAAUCUAAAUUUGGUGUGAAAAAAUGACAUUAAGUAAUAUAAAGGGCCCUAUUGCAUAAAAAGAAAAAUCUAAUGAUGGUUUUUAUGAUGUUGCAAGAAUAAGCUCACAUUUCAAAUUUUAUAAAAUUAAUUUUAUUUUUUUUAACGGACCAAAAUAUCCUGCAUCCUUGCUCGAGUGGGGGAGAUGGAAGAGGAAGGAGAGGGUGUUGUUAUUUUAGUCCAUGUUUAAAAAAUAUAAAUUUAAUUUUAUAAACUUUAAAUUUUUUUUUUUUCAAAAUUAUGAAAUUAUUAAAUUUUUUUUCUGGAAAAGGGCCAGUACAAAAUAUUUGCCCCUGUUGGAAGGGGGAUUUAGGACCAGCCACUGGGGAAAGGUCUGAAACAGCAUUAUUGAGGCAGAAGAGGACAAAGGGAGAGUGAGAGUAUGAAUGAGUUAAAGAGAAGGGCCCACUCCCAAAGGGAGAGUGAGAGUAUGAAUGAGUUAAAGAGAAGGACCCACUCCCAACUCUUUCUCUCUCUUUAUAUGUGUUUGGCCAAUUUGCAUAAAAAAUUUAUAAAUUUUGAGCUUUAGUAAAAUUAGACCGUCUUUUUUUAUUUUACAGAUUCGGUUCGAAUAUUCAAUAAAUUGAUCAAAAUAUUCUUAUUAUUUUUUUCUUUCUUUUCUUUUUUUUUUUUUUAUUCUCUCGUUCGUUUUUUUUUUCUCUGUCCGAAAAAGGCAGCGGAGACAGAGGCGAAGAGGCGAAGGAGGAAACGGCCCGCCUUGCCUCUCUCACCCUCAUGCCCUCGCUCUCACCCGUGCAUCCUUGCCUUUUUUGCCUCUGAUUCCGUCGAGGCCGCGUCGUGACUUUUUUUUUUUUCCUCUCCAACCCUCCUCCACCAUAUCUGAUGACGAUGCCUCUCUCAUCCUUUCCCGCCCUUCUCGCCCUCUCCCUUUCCUUCCUCCUCCGACGCCAACACCUCUCCGCCGACGCCGACGCUGCGGAGGUCGCUAUAGUCUCGGAGUGAGGAUUUCUUAGCGGUGUUGUCGCCAUCGCCGGCGCCGUGGUUAUGGCCGUUGGCGGAGAGGCGUGACAAAAAAUAAUUGUAGAAGAAUGAAGGAGAAAAAUAUAAGAAUAACAGUUGAAACUACACCCAGAAAGUAGCAGUUGAAAAGAGUAAUUUUGAAUAAAAGAUAAGUUUACCAACCUAAUCAAUUUUAAAAUAAAUAAUUUUUUUUCUACAUUAGAGAUAAUUUUACCACCACAUAUGGAGAGUAAUGAAAUUUUACAAAUGAACUUCUUAACUAAAUUCAACUAAAUAAAUUAUUUAUAGUUACANCAUAAUCCGCCCCACCUCGUAACCCGCCUCCCGCCGGCGCCCCGAAUCCGCCCCACCAACUAAUAUUUUUUAUAAAAUUAUAAUAUUAUUAAUAUUUUGUAAAAUAUAAAUUAAUAAUUUUUAAUAAUAUUAUAUAUAUAAUUUAACAAUAUUAAUGGUAAAAAUUAAAAAUAUCAAUCACAAUUCAAAACAAAAUUCAAAUAUUUCAAAUACAUUAGAAAUGAGAGUAAUAACUUAUUUGUAUUUUAAACUUUUUUUUAUAAAUAUAUUAUUUUUUGGGAAUAUUUUUUAAAAAUACAAAUGAUAUUUGGGGCGGAUUCGGGGCGGAUUCGGGGCGGGGCGGAUUCGGGGCGGAUUCGGGGUGGGUCAAAAUUUUUUCCGUUUCCUGCCCUGAAUCCGUCUCGGAUCAUAAAACUUACCCCGUUUCCUGCCCCGAAUCCGUUUAUUUUCUCCCAUUUACCGCUCCCGUCGGGGCGGAUCGGGGCGGGAGCUCCACCAACCCGGAUCCGUUUGCAUCCCUAGUAGCAGUUGAAAAGAGCGAUUUUGAAUAAAAGAUAAGUUUACCAACCUAAUCAAUUUUAAAAUAAGUAAUUUUUUUUCUACGUUAGAGAUAAUUUUACCACCACAUAUGGAGAGUAAUGAAAUUUUACAAAUGAACUUCUUAACUAAAUUCAACUAAAUAAAUUAUUUAUAGUUACAAUGCUUUCUGCUGCAUUCAAAUAAACGAGAUAAAUAUAGCUAUAACUCUUGUAUCUCUGAGGGAGUCGUUUGGUUAGAUGUAAUUGAAAAUACAAUGUACUUUGAGAUUUUAUAGUUGGAAAUAUUAUAGUUACAAUUAUAUAUAUAUAUUGUUUGUUGGAUGUGAUAGAAAGUGCAGCAACCAUAAAUAUUUUGUUUGAUUAUGUGCGGUUGAUAAACGCAUUUACAAGAUUUUAUAAUUUUUAUAUGAAUAGUGAGAUUACUCUCUACAUAAAAAAAUAUAUAUAUUUUUCUAUUAGGAAGAUUUUUAAGGAGGUAAACUUAUCAUUGCUUAAUGUUAUUCUUUCCAACUACUGCAGUAAAAAUUACGGUCAAUUUAGGUGUAGUUUCAACUGUUACAUUUGAGCCUCUUUGAGUAGUUCCAACUGCAAUAAUUAAAUUCAAAUAUAUGAAACCAAACAGCGUAUACUCGCUAAAAAGAAAAAUGACGAACAAUUAUUUGUUUUUUAAGUUUUAUUAAUGACGAUAAAUCGUUUACCGUAUUAUAUUUAUUGGACAAAAUAUGUUUAUUUAGCCAAAUAAAUUUUUAACAAAAUUGUUUUUCCAAAUAUAACUUUUUUAAAAAUUAUUAUGAAAAAAAAUCUAUUUAUUCAAUAUGAUACUUGUGUAAAUAGCAAUCAUUUAUUAAUAACUAGCGAUAAUAUAUAAUAUAUUCGUCAAAACUUUAAAAAUAUCUUUAAUAUAUCCUUGGUGGUCCUAAAUGCCCUUAUCGAUUUUUAAAUUUUUUUCAAAUAUAACCCUAAUUCUAAAAUUUACUAGUGAAAUUUGGGAUUUAGAAAGGUAUUUUGGGAAUAUAUAAAGUGAAAUUAAAAAUUUUUAAUCUUGAUGAGGAAUGUAUAAAAGUCUACUGAGAAAUGCUUGGAGUACCCCAUUUUUAAGUACCCUAUUUUAUUGUUGUUGAGUUGGCAUACAUUAGGGUUAGGGCUUAGGGUUUAGAGUACAAUGAUUGCAAUUAACAUUUAAUAAUAAUAUUUGGAAUUUGGGUUGAGCUCUUAUACUUUUAAAAGUAUAGGAGUAUUUGUGCCUGUAACUUUUUAGCUUUCAGAUUUUCUUAAUAUUCGUAUAGCACUACAAACGAUAUAUUUUGGUGUGAGUGGAGUGAUGGAACUCAAGUUCUAUCACUUUCGUUAUUUAUUUUGGUAUAAAUCAAAAAUAUAAUGUAAUUCAAGUUACGUUAGAUCUCUACUUCACCUAUUUUCGACUUCCUCCUCUAAAGUGCCGAACUCGACUUCGCCACACUCAACCUCUUCUAAAAAAUUUAUUAAAUAGUAAAUCUAAACUCUACUUUCUUUAUAAUGAGUUAAAAUUAUCUUAUUUAUAAUAAAUUAGGAUUACCUUUAAAUAAUAAUAAAAAAUUUAAUUAUAUAAUAAGUUAAAUUUUUUAGCGAUAAAUUUAUCACCACAUUUAGGAGAUAGCGGGAUCCACUUACUUACAUCAAAAUAAAUAACAAAACUUAAAAAAUUAAUUUUACAAGUACUCAGUUACAUCAAAACGAAUAAAAAAAUAAUUAAAUUUAACUUUCAGACUGUACGAGUUACGUCAAAAUAAAUAAUAAAAAAAAAAUCAUAUUUUAAGAAAAUUUAAAUAUCACUAUACUUGACUUACGUACGAUCUAUAGAUUCUUCAAUCAGCCCCUUGAGUCUUCUUUGUUAGUGCUACAUGAAUCUUAAAACGAUUCAUCAGUUAAAAAGAUACAAACUUAUUUAAGUUUCUGUGCAUUCUCAGAGCAUACUUUUUAGGCGGUGUUUGGUUCCUCGUAAAACCGGCUUAAAAAAAAAAAAAAAAAUCUCAAUGGAAAAGUACAAUUCCAUGGUGAACCUUUUCUCUCGUGAGAGUAUAGUAGUCGGACUCUCUCUCUCUCUCUCUCUCUCUCUAUAUAUAUAUAUAUAUAAAUUUAUUUUAUAAAUAUAUAUUUAUUUAUUAUAUAUAGUAUUUUAUUUUUAUAUAGAAAUAUUAUUAUAUAAUAUUUUAUUCAUUAUUUAUUAAUAUUUCUAAAUAUAUAACUUUUAUAUAUUAUUAAUAUAUGUUUAUUAUAAUUUUAAAUAUAUUUAAUAUAUAUAUAAAUUAUAAUAAUAAUAUAUAUAGUAUGUUAAUUAUAUAUUAUAUAAUAAAAAAUAUAUUAAAUAGUUUUUUUAUUUAUUUUUCUUUUCCAAUCAAUCAAACUAACUGUAAUGGAAAAUUAAUUUUCUUUUUCUAUAAGUCAAAUACUAAACACGUAAAACGUUUUUUCCAUCGAAAUUUUUUUUCCACCGAAAUUAUUAUUUUCAGUUUUACGAGGAACCAAACACGCCCUUAGCAACAUUCAUUGCUGAUAUGAAAAAUAUUUUUUUGCUUGUUUGGUUUGACGUAAAAAUAUUUAUUUUUAUAAAUUUGGAGAAAAAUUAAAGUUUUCGUUUUUGCUUUUUUUUCCAGCAAAACAUAAAAAUUCAAGUUGCGUAAAAUUUUUUCAUUGAUUUUUUGACCGAAUCAAAUAAAUGUGAACUUUUUUUUUCCUUUCAACCAAAUAAAUAUUUAUAAAAGAUUAUUUGUUUUACAAACCGAACACUAUAAAAGCUUCGUUUGGGAUUGCAACGAGAUUUCCUUACGUGCGAUGAGAAACGACGAUGAGAAAAUCUCUUAUUUGUUUCCGUACGUAAUUGUUACGUUCUGCAUAUUACAGUUAAUCGGUUACGCGGUCCCACCGGAGAACACAGAAGUAUAUCUCUAUAUAUUUUUUUUCAAUUUCAUUCUAUCUAAUAGAAUUAGAUAAAUCUCAAUAAACACGGAACUAAGCUAAAGUGUAAGAAAAAAACUUUUCACCGAAAUUUUUUGUACAUAAUUAUUUUUUACGAUUUUACGCUGUACCAAAACGGAUCUUAGCCAUGCGCAAAAUGUAUGAAUACACAUGGUGCAGUGAGAAUAGUUCAUAUUUUUGUUCUCUUGUCCUUUUUCUCCUUUCUCAUGUGUUAUAGCCGUAUAGGUCAAGGCAUGAGGUCCAUAGCCUUUGGAGUUAUUAUUGUGUUGUGGUGUUUAUGAGGACAAAGGGAGAGCCAAAGAGAGAGAGGGGUGUGUGUUUUGGAAUUUGGUAUGUUUUGGCCCUUUUGGGGAAACCCCCUUAUAUUAUUUUAUUUAUUUAUUACAUGUUUGAUGUAGUAAAUGCUCUUUGAAUAAUAAGUGGGCUAUAUAAGUGUUUUUUUGUUUGGAUGUGCCCACAUGUGGCUUUUCUUUGUGGUGGCUCUUUGUGGAUCUGAAAAGAUGCCCUAUCAGUAGUGUUGAUGGAGACAAUUUUUAGGCUGUUGUACCAAUGUUUUUUUUUUUUUUUUUUUUAGUAUAAACUUCAAAUACCGUGUCUUUUAGGUGGCGUUUGGUUUAAAAAUAAAAGGAGAAUAAGUUCUUGUUCCCCCUUUGUUUCCAAAUAUCACGUUUUGUUUUCGGAAACAGCAGUUUCCAGAUUCCUAGAAUAAGUUGGUAUAAGGCUGAACUGUUGUUCCACCUUUUUCUGGAACAAACUUGUUCCCGGAUGAGAAGAAGGUUAAUUAAAGUCUAAAUUUAAUUUUAACGACAGUAAAUCUUUAAUUAAUCUAAUUAACAUAUUUAAAGUAUUAUUUAUUUAAAAUAAUUAAUUAAUUUAUUAUUUAUAAUUAAUUAUUAUUAACUAUAUAAUAAUUAUUAUUCUUAAUAAUUAGAUAAUAGAUAUUAUUAAUAAUUUAUUAUUUAUAAUUAAUUAUUAAUAAUUUGAUAAUUAAUAUUAUUAAUUUAUUAUUUAUAAUUACUUAUUAAUACUUUUUUAUAAUUAUUAUUAUUUAUUAAUAAUUAGAUAAUCGAUAUUAUUAUUAAUUUAUUAUUUAUAAUUAUUUAUUAAUAAUUAUUAUUUAAUAAUAAUCUAUUAAUAAUUAUUAUUAAUUAGAUAAUCGAUAUUAUUAUUUAUAAUUAAUUAUUAAUAAUUUAUUUAUUAUUUAUUUUUAAGUAAUAUUUUGAUGUUAAUUAAUGAGAUAAUAUAAUUUUAAUUUCAAAUUAUAACUCUUAUUACUCUUGUUCCAAUCUAACCAUCCAAAUACUAUUUACCUUAUUUCUAGAGACAACUCAAAUUUCAUUCAAAUGCAAAAUUGGUUUAGUUUCUUCUUAUACCUGAACUUAUACCCUAUCCCUGGAACAAGCAGUUUUUAUUUAUACCCAAACCAAACGCAACCUUAGCAUCUUUAGUUAACUGCCUGUUAAAUUAUAUACAAAAAAUACUUCAGAUACCCAAGUUAUAAUCUGUUGAAUAUUCACUUUAGUACAUUAUGAUUUACCAAAGUUUUACUUUAAUAUCAUAUGAUUUUAAUUUUGUCACUGAUUUAACAGAAAAAUUAAGAUUGCAAUACUACAGAUAAAGUGAUACGUUUUAAAUUAUUGGGUACAAAAGUGAGAAAGUGCAAAAUUACAGAAUAGUAUUUGAAGUUUUUUCUAAUUUUUAAAAUAAAAAAAUGGUUUUUGGGUAAAUUGCAUUUUUGGAUCUUGAGUUAUGAGUCUUUGGGUAACUUGCCUAUGAAACUUAGAUAGCUAGAAUCCCACUUAGUAAUAUACCCAUUUUUAAUUUUUUUAAUUAUUUUCUUCUUGUUGUUAUCUCCACUCUUUUUAGUGUGAACUAGUCAAAUUUGAAUUAUAUUUUUCCUCAAAAUGUAAAUCAUCAAGAUCUAUUUGACUUUUGUUUUCAAGAAACGCCACCUCUAUAUUCAAAAAUGUGGUUUAAACAUUAUACAUCAUUCAUAAUUCUCCAUUUCAUCGCGCUAGUUUUAUCACAUCCUUUUCAUGCUUUUAGUUAACUAUAGGUAAAAUACUUAACCUUAGUUAGUUAAUGAGAUGAAUUGAUCUCCUUACCCUUUUUUAAUUAAUAAUUAAGAUUUUUGAAGGAAUAUAUUUAUGAUGGGAAAAAUGUUAUUUCACUUAUAAAAUAAACAGUGCUUUAAUAGUAACAAACCAGAAUGACAUAUUUGAAAAUAUUAGAAUUUUUAUAUAGACAACAUAUGAAAACUGAACUUUGUAGAAAUAUAAAUGUAAUUUACUAUAUUUGCAGGAAUCUAUAUAAAUUUUUUUUUUUUUUUUUUUUUUGUUACAAAACAAGGACUCAACAUGGCCCUUGGGAUAAUGCGGUACAAAAUUUAUACUCUUUUUUAGGUGCACGAAUAAUAUUGCUUUUAAAAAGUAAGGAUGUGAAAAGACUAGUGUGAUAAAAUCGGCCUAUGAAUGGGCAGAGUGUCACAUUGACAUUCACUUUUGGUAUUAUUAGUUAUCUUUGGUUAGAAGUUUUAAAUUAAAACCAAAUCAUCGCAACAAUAUGUCAAAGGUAAAACAAAAAAGUAAAUUGGUCCCCUUCUUUCUUUAGCAUGAAAUUUUGGGCUAGUGAUUAACGCCAACGAUCCGCAAACCACAAGUGGUAUCAAAGCUUUAAUUUUCUUUUAGUUCUAGUUUUUGUUUUUAGAAUAGUAGUUAGCCCAAAAAGUGUUGGUUGGGCUUUCAUGGUUUCAUAUCCUAUAUACCAAUGUUAGUGUAGUUGAUUAAGUUGACCAAAGCCUAGUUCUCUUGGGUCAACAAAGUUGGGCCACUUGGGAUAGCCCAAGCCCAUUCACACCUCUAAUUUUAUUUUAGGGAUAACUGCCUAUAUACCUCUCAAAACUUCGGAAACAUCUAAUUUUUUUUAUACUUUCUUUUUUGGUUUCAAAUAUACCUCUCGUUGUUUCUCUGUUAUUCAAAAAUACUCCUGCAGUUAUCAUUCGUUAAGUUAUCUCGAAUUAAACGUGAGUUAUAUGUCUACCAGAAUUUUAAAAAAAAUUAAAAUACCUAUUUUGCCCUAAAAUUAAAGACAAAUAAGAAAAGUUGAUAUCGGUAGCAGAGUAUAUUUGAAAAGAUAAAAAAUUAAAAUAUUUAUUUUGCCCCUAACUUAAGAGCAAACAAGAAAAGUUGGUGAUGGUAGAACCGUAGAAAGAUAUAUUUGAAAUGGCAAAAUAGUAACUUUACAGAGGUAAUGGUUGUUAGUAACAGUUUACUAAUAAAAUUUAACUCUAGAGUUAUAUAUUUGAAAUAACUAGAACGUUAAAAAUAUAUUUUUAAUAUUAGUCUUUUAAGAGGAAUAAAUUAGAAAGUCAAAAAUAUUUUAGGGGUAUAUAUAUGCAAUUGCCUCUUUAUUUUAUUGAAAGUUGAAGCCAUAUUGUUUAGGGUUAUAAAUUGCCCCUAUGAGGUUUCACGCUUUUUUGACACUAUUUAUAUGCACUAUUUUGAGGGAACGGUAGCAUAUUAUCAGUUUCGUUUAUUUUUUUAUAUUAUUUAUCUAACGAUCAGAAGGUUGCCAAUUUAUACAUUUUUGAGAGUGAUAGAAUGCUACUUGCUUCUUUCAUUUUUAUUUUUAUUUUUUUCGAAAUGGACUUAGCUGAAUAUGUGAAACAUAUAAAGCUUCGAACUUGGUACCAAUCAUCAGGCCAUUUUGCCACUUGUGCUAGGAAAGGUCAGUACCAAUUUAUACUUUUAAUAAUUGAAUAUAUAGGGUAUUUUUCUAUUUAACAGUGUAAAAGAGCUCAAAUCAAUUAAUGGUGUAAAGUAAUUUUGUUCGAUGAGAGCGGUAGAGGAGGAGAGAGAGGAAAUGAAAGGAGGGAAAAAGGAAGCAAUGGCGAGAAAGAGGGAGACGAAACGGGAGGAGAAAAAUAAACGAGAGAAAAAGGAGAUUUAAUCUAAAAAUUCAGACUUAAUCUAAAAAAUCGAAAAAAAAUGGUCUAUGUUUGCAAAAACAUAAAACUGGCGGAAUUUUUAUACAAAUUGGUCUAAAUUUUUUUAAAAAUUUAUAAUUUGGUUGAUGCAAACUGAUACAAAAAUUACUAACAUGGUGAUAUUGAGCAUUUUAAUUGGAUGGUUAUUAUAAUUCAUAAGAAAAAAGGUUUAAUUCCCAAGUAGGAUGGUAAUUAUAAUAUAACCAAAGAGAACUAACCAAUAAGAAACUAUCAUGUUGGCAUAUUUGAAAAUUUUAAAAUUUGUAUAUAGCAAAACAUUUUGAAAUCCCUGAAAGAGCAUGAGGCCUAGUUUGAAAUUUCAAAUUCAAGUCAAAUAUAAAAAUAAAAAUAAAAAUUCAUAUUUCAUAAAAUGGAGAGUCAAUAGAAAGAUUGAACUGAUAUCAUUCAUUCUAAUUUUACCUCUCAUCAGAGCUCUUUUGAUAGUCAUAGAAAAUUAUUUAGUGACUGAAAAUGAAAUAUUAAAGUUUAAAAUUACAUACAGUCAAUAUGAGGUAGCUACCUAUUUUCUACCAUCUUUUAUUAUCUUCUCGCACACCAGGCAGGGUUAAUUUCAUACAGGUUCCUACAAAUAUAGUGAAUGAAAAAUAUAUCCUUACAAAGUUCAACUUUCAUAUGUUCUCACUACAAAAGUUCUGAUGUUUUCAAAUAUGUCUUUUUGAUUUGUUACUGUUAGAGAACUGUUUAUAUUUUCAAUUUUGUCAUCACAAGUAUAUCCCUCCAAAAUCCAUAACAGUAUAAUAUAAAAAAGUAAAAAUAUGAAAAACUAACCAGAGUUACGCAGUUAACCUAUGGUUAACUAAAUUUAUCUAACGGAUUCUAACAGUAAGAAUAUAUUUGAAAACAUCAGAACUUUUGUAGGAACACCAUAUAAAAAUUAAACCUUGUAGGAAUAUAUUUGUCAUUCGCUAUGUUUGCAGGAAUCUGUAUGAAAUUCACCCAUAUAUAAAAGGGAAGAUACAGACAACGAGAUCAAUCUCAAUUGAUCAAACCCAAUCUAUUCUGUCUAUAACAAAUGACAAAAUUAUCAUCUUAUGUAGAGAAUUUGUGUUCACAAAAUUACAAAAAAUCAACUCUCUAUCUUCUAAGAGGAUUUGAGUCCUAUCUUGGUUCCACACUUCUUGGCUUCUACAAUAUUAAUGCCAAUUCCAAUUCCUCAAAUAAAACAAAUAAAAAAAUAGAAAACUAAUCCCAUUCUCUGACACACCCCUCCAAAAAAAAAAUAAAAAUGAUAGGUUUGCAUGUCAAUCUCCUAGCAUUGUAUUAAUGCUACCCAAUAGGCCAACAUUGACAUAUUUAAUUAGAACAACAUUCAACUUACAAUCUAUUGUUAAAUAUGAAGUUAAAUCUAAGAUGCGGAUUCUUCUAGGUCACACUAGGUUGAUUUGACAAUUAAUAUUAUUAAAUAUAAUUUAAAUUAUUUAAGUUUUAUAUAAAUUAAACUUUAUGAUAUCAUAAUUAUUUUUAUAUAAUAAUCAGAGUAUUAUGAAUUAUGCUGGUGGUACACUUAAAACUAGGUUGUAGAUUUUAUAUCCCUAUCUAUUGGAUGAAUAAGGUGUAAAAUUUAUAAUAAAAAAUAGGCAUAUAAGUAGCAUUUAUCAUUAUAAAUUAAAAUUAAUUUCAUACAUAUCCUUCCUCCAAUCUUUAAUUACAUAGAUAUUCCUCUCAAAAUAUAAAUUUAAAAAGAAUAAUUAUCUAUAUACCCCUCAAAAUUUUACAAAUAUCUAAUUUGCCUUAUUUUCUUUUGUGUUUUCUUUUUUUUUUUUUGAGAGAUAGGUAGUACGCUACCUGCUUCGUUUAUUUCAUUUAGAAAUAAAUUUAGCUAAAAAUGUGAAUCAACUAGGAUUCGAACUUAGGUCUCGGAUACCAACCAUCAAGCCCUUUGCCACUUGCUCUAGGGACGGUUGGUUUUUCUUUUGUGUUUUCAAUAUACCAUUCAUAUGUUUCUUUGUUAUUCAAAAAUACCCCCGCAGUUACCACCCGCUAAGUUAUCUCAAAUUAAACGUGAGUUAAAUAUCUAUCAGAGUUAAAAAAAAUAAAAUAUCUCUUUUGUCUCUAACUCAAGGGCAAGUAAAAAUGUUAGUGAUGAUAGAACAUAUAUUUGAAAUGACCAAAAAUUAAAAUACUUCUUUUGCUCCUAACUUAAGGACAAAUAACAAAAGUUGGUAAUAGUAGAAGGUAUAUUUGAAAGGAGUAAAAUAGUAAUUUUAAAAAGAUAAAAACUAUUGCCAACAGUUCACUAACACAGUUUAAUUCUAGAAAUAUAUUUGAAAUAAUUUGAACAUAAAAAAGGUAUUUCUUAUAAGAUUAAUUCAUACAGGUCCCUGCAAAAUAGUAAAUUGUAAAUAUAUUCCUACAAAGUUCAACUUUUAUAUAUUGUUCCUGUAAAAGUUCUGAUGUUUUCAAAUAUGUCCCUCUAGUUAGUUACCAUAUCACUCACAGAUUAUUUAAUAGGAAAAUGUACGAAAAAUUAUCAUAAUAUCCAAACUGGUAAUAAUUUAUUAAAAAACAACAUAACAUUUUUUUUGUUUUGUCCAUCAUCUAUUAUCUAUAUCAUUUUAAUUAACAUAAAUACUAUUUUGUUUUAAAAUAUUAUAAAUACAAUUCAAUUUAUACUAAUCUAAUUGCAACAAACUACACUAUAUAAAUAGUAAAUAAAAAAUCAUAUUAAUUUAGAUAAAGAGAAAAAAAGAUUAACAAAAAAUAUAUAUAAUAUAUUUUUAGUUUCAGCUAAUUUUUUAUUAUGAUUAACAUGAGAACCAUAAGAUAUUGAUAAAAAAAACUUGAGUACGCAAAAAAUACAUUUUAUAAAUUGAAUUAAAGUUAGUUUUUGCUAAAAAAUAAAUUUAUUAGCCUUAUAUAAUACGACACAAUUAUUAUAAUUAGAAAUAGCUAAAAGUAAAUUAGUCUAAAACUCUAAUCAUUGUAAUGGAGGGCAUUUUUGAUAUAAUUCAUUAAUUUAUAAGGGUAAAAAUGAUGUGAACAAUUUUAAAUGAGUAUCCACAUGAUUUAUAACUUUUGAGGGACACGUUUGGAAUUACACUAUAAAUUAUAUAAAAUUUUCAAGCUAUUAAAAUAUUAAGUAAAUGAUGUCAAAAUUUUUGCUUUUGAAAUUAUUCAGAUAAUCUAAAUUACAUUUAACAACGCACAUUAUUCUUUGAAACACAAUACAAAUUAAGACUCCCCUAUUAUAGGCCAUUUUUAAAUUAAUUGCUCAACUUUUAUUUUGUUUCGGUAAAAACGUUCAGAACUUAUCUGAAUUACAAACUAUUUUAAUUUAAUUAUUCAAUCUUUUAAAAUUUAAUUUUACUGACCAAACUUUUGAUUUGUUAGAUUUGAGUUAGUCAACGUCGCUUCGACUUCAAUAUGUAAAUUAAUUAUGUUUUAAUAAAUUUAUAAUUGUGAGAAUUAUAUGAAAUAUAUUCACAAAAGCUGUAAAGAUAAGCUACGCAUUCAAAUUUUGAAAUUACAUAUAUAACAAAUAACUUACUUCUUUUAACUUUUGAUUCAAAAAAAUUAAGUGAAUUUUAAUAAAUUAAAUUAAAAUUUAAAUUAAUAUUAUUAUCUAAUCUAUUAAAUUUAACAAAAUUCUAAUUAUUUUAUAGGCAAUAAAUUAAAAAUAAUUAAUAAUAAUAAAUAGUUAACAGAGUCAUGAGCUGAGAAAACAAAUCAGCCUAAGUCAGAAAUUUAGAAUAUGUGAAUGAAAGAAUAAGAAAAUUGAGAAGCCUAUUUGAAAAAUGGGCUCUAGUUAAUGAGACUAAUUCAUACUUUUCUUCUUUUUUUUUUUUUUUUUUUACUUACAUAAAUUUAUUAAAUAGAAUAAACAGAAAAUGACAUGAACAUAAUUUUUUUUAGGAUAAACUUCAGAUACCACUCCUGUGGUUUCGCACUUUCUCAUUUUAGUACCCUGUAAUUUAAAAUGUAUCAAGUUAGUGUCAUGUGGUUCCAUUUUUAUGUUUUCGUCAGUUCUUCGUUAAUAUUUCGUUAAAUUAUAUAAAAAAAGCUUCAGAUACUCUACCUAGGUUUAUCAAAUAUUCACUUUAGUAUUCUUUAAUUUUAACUUUGUCACUGAUUUAACGAAAAAAUUUAGUAGAAUCGAUAAUAAAAAUAUAAAAAUAAAAUCACAGGAUACUAAAUUGAUAUACUUUAAACCACAGAGUAUUAAAGUGAAAAAGUGUGAAACCAUAUAGGUGGUAUUUGAAGUUUAUUAUUAUUUUUUUUUUAUAUAUAGUUUACUCAUAUAUGAUUACUCACCUACCAGUUAGUGCACUUAAGGUUUUUUUUUUUUUUUUUUAAAGAAAAUUUGUGAUAUUAUCGAAAGUUGCAGCUAAGUAGGCUAGAGCUAGGUGGUUGAAAAAAAUUGAAUUUAAAAAAAAAAAAUGUGCGGUGAAUGUGAUGGCUUGGUGCACCUGGUUCAUUACGUGGUGCGCCCGGUUCACUUAACAGUUUCUUCUUGUAACGCUGAGGCAUAUUAUAUGAUCACCAUAAUGAUCAUCAAUCUACCUUUUUUUUUCAUUAGGUCAUUAAUCUAAUUAUUGAAGCCUUUUGCUGAUUGAUAUAAUUUUUUGGUCAAAGUAAGAUGGUAAGUUUGCUUGUAAAAGAUGUCACGCCACAUAAAUGCACAAAAGAAUAUAUAAAUAAUUAUUUAUUGUAUUGAUUAAUUUUAUUUACUUUUUUAUAUUUUUAGCGUCUUAUUUUAUUUUUUCAUUUCUUCUUUUAUGUUAAAUAUAAAAAUAUUUAAAAUCGCUAUCUUUUAAUUUAAAUUUUUAGAGUACAAUAAUUAUUUUACGUAGUAUUAGAGUAGAAAAUUUUGAGUUUGAGUUACGGCAAACUCCUUAAUGCUUCCGACCAAGAAAACGAAUUAUUCAAAAAACAUAAAAUUUUGUUAACAAAGAAUAAAAAAAUAAACUUUUAAAACAAUUUUACUAAGAGAGAGAAUCAAAAUUCUUAUUUAUUACCAGCAAUGUUAUUUUUGCUACUACACAGUAUAUAUGGAAGAAUCUAUGUUAUGCUAUACUUUAUUAACUUGUUACUUCUCACCAUUAUUCGCAAUCAUUGUCGAUCACCAUUGUUGCUGCUAUAUUGUUACUUGAUGCUCUCCUCAGUAGUAUCGUUGUUAUCGCCGCUGCAAACGUUACUGCUAGUGGUAUCACUAGUACCAGAUACUACUAUACUGCGUAACUCGUCGGCGAAAUUUUGAAUGUUCCGAUCGGACGACCCGCCCUCCGCGACGGCAGCUGCCGCCGCCUCCUUCCACUUGGCGGCCCGCGCCCUCAUCCCCUCCGCCUCCGGCCGCCGCACCCCGACUCCGUAAACGUCCACCAGAAACUUGGCGUUCGUGACCUGAUCCCCCCACUGCGGGAACGCGAUCACCGGCAGCCCUGCCGACAGUGCCUCCAGCGUCGAGUUCCACCCGCAGUGCGUCAGGAAGCACCCGACGGCCGGGUGGCUCAGCACGCGGUCCUGCGGACUCCACCCGACCACGAACCCUCGACGUCCCACAUCCCCCUCGGUUGUUGUCAAACCUUCCAGAAAGUCCUCCGGCAGCAAGCCGCGGCUCUCCUGCCGGACGACCCACAGAAACGGCCGGCCGGAGUCCCGCAAUCCCCAGGCCAUCUCUGCCAUCUCGUCGGCCGUCAGCACGACGACGCUGCCCACCGAGACGUACGCGACAGACUGCCUUUCCUGCGCGUCGAGCCACGACAUGCAGUCGUCGGCGGGCGUUAAGAGGUCCCCGCGGAAGGGGUCGGUGAGCGGGCCGACGGGGGUGAGGGGGCGGAGGGAGGAGAAGGCUGCGAUAGCGUCGUGCUCGAGCUCGUUGAAGGAGUUGGCGAGCAGCCAGCGGGCCUUCCCGAGGUUGCCGAAGCUGGCGAGGAUGGUGUCGGCGAGGAGUUUGUAGGGGUUGGAAGGGUGGAGGAAGGAGGGGACGUCGGCGGCGGAGAGCGGCGGGAGGCCGGGGAGGGAGACGGGGGGGUCGGAGUCGGAGAGAGGGAAGGCUGCCAGGCGGUGGUGGUAGUGGUAGUAGGCCGAGAAGACCGCGCACGACUGCACCCAGAGGACGGCCGCAGGGAUGCCGAGACCUUCCGCGACGUCGAGCGCCCACGGCAGGAACGGGCUGCCGACGACGCAGGUGACGGGGACGGUCUGGCGGCGGAGGAGCGCGGCCAGGGAGGGAGGGCCGGCGGACGCGAGGUGGCGCAUGAGGUCGUCGAGUGCUGCCAGCGGGCCGGACGGCUGGUCGGAGAGGAAGUCGAAGCGGAAGUUCGGAAGGGGAGAAACAUCGGAGGAGGAGGAGAGGAGGCGGGCGCCGAUGUCGGAGGUGGAGGUGAAGGUGACGAGCAGGCCCUUCGCCGCCAGGCGCCGCGCCAGGCGGAGCACCGGGUUCACGUGGCCCUGCCCCGGGAAUGCGAUCAGAAGCACAUGCGGCGAAGUCGCCGCAGCAGCAGACGACGACGACGACGACGACGACAAAGAGUCUUCUCCCAUAUUAUAUAUGCUCGUUAAAAUUAGAGUAGAGUGCAGCGAAAAUUUACAAACUAAAUACGUAGUAGGUCUGUGGGCGUGGUAGAGACGGGGGCAAUAUAAAUGAGAGGGGCGAUGUAGUAGGUGUGUGGGUGUGGUAGAGAUGCGGGCAAUAUAAAUGAGAGGGACGCUGGGGAAAGUGCGUUCGGGCUGAGGGAAAUGGAUAGGAUUGUUAAUGACCAAGCAGUUUUUUUUUUUUAAUUUUUUCCUUUUGUCUUCUGUGAAAGGCAAUGAUGUAUGCAGUGUUUUAUUUGCAAUAACUUUUAUAUAUAUGUAUAUAUAUAUAUUAUUUUUUUUUUUGUUAUAUAGUAUAUUAUAUAGAGCUAGCUGACUAUAUAUCUAUAUCCGAGCUCCGGUAUACGAUUAUAGUAUUUGGUUUUCGAUCUGGUGGAGGCGUUCAGAAUCAACGAUCCACACGUUAAAAACUGGGAGUGCGGGUAGGGGUAUUUGAAAGUUCCAGAAAUAAAAUUUAGGUAGUAGUUUUUCAGCAUAGUUUUACUUUUGAGAGUCGAAACUAUUUCAAAAUUAUGCGAGUGAAUGGGUGGUGGUAGGGUGAUGAGUUUGGAGGGUUUACGGGGUAGAAGAUAUCUAAUUUCUUCGAACUUUGGGAUAGAAAGAUGUAUUUUAAACGGUUGGUGAGUGAGGAUGUCAAGGUGUGACAUUCGUGGACGUUGGAGAUUUAAAGUGCGGUGAGGUAGUGCAGAGAGUGUAGGGAAGAUUACUUUAAUUUCACCGGCCAUUUGAUAUAAGUUGAUUUACUACAUAAACGAGUAUCGAAAAAAACUAAAAAUUUUUAUUCCUAGAAAUUCAUAUACCCUAGAUCAUAUUUAACGGUGUGGGAUCGUUGAUGUUGACGCGUAAGAUCGGAAAACGAAACGACUAUUGAGUACCGGAGCUCGGUACUAUAGAUAGUAUAGGUAACCGAAUUAUAUUAUAGUAUAUAUAUAUAUAUCAUAGUAUAUGAUUUAUAUAGUAUUAUAUAUAGUAUAUAAUAUAUAUAUAUAAUAGGUAUAUAUUAUAUCAAUAUAGUCCGCUAUGGUGCGUUGUAAAAGCCCCAGCACUUGUGCUUGUAAGUUUCUUUACCGUUAAGAUCUACUUCUCGGAAUCAUUUUCAACCAUUAAAUUAAGAUUGAUACUAUUCAGCACACCCACUCUACUCAACCCUGGACGGGGGGCCCACAUCUCCUCACCGCAUAUGCUCUUAAAUCCAAUUGGAUAAAAAUCUACAACGACCAAUAACUUGGUACUUUAAAGUAUGGAGCUGCAUUUAGUAUACAUAUAUAGGUGCGGCUCUAUACUCUUGAAUGAGUAUAGAGCCUCUUGUACUAUAGUUUUUUUACCUUUUAUUUUUCUUUACUCCCUUUUUUUUUAAUUUUUUCCCAAUUUUUUACGUUUUAUAUUAUACUAUCAACCAAACUCACCAACUCAACCCUUAGGUCUCACUAUAUACUUAACCGAAUCACUCUCAUUCUAAUCUGCACAUUUUUUCAUCCUAACUUCCUAAAUUAUAUUAUUACAAUAUUAUCUCUAAUACUCAUAUAUUAUAUUAUCCCCAUCCUAAUAUAUUAUAUACAUAUAUAUAAUAUAUGUUAAUAGUAUUUAUAUAAUAUAUUAUUAUUAUAUAUAUAUGUAGUGUGGUGUGUGUUGUGAGUAUGUUGUGUGAGUAGGGUUAGGGUUGUGUUAUAUGGAAUUUUAUUAUUGUGUGUGUUUUGUUGUAAGGUGGGUCAUGCUGUCUUGUUCUGUCUGAGUAGGUUUGCUGAGGAGGUGCGUUUAAGUGUUGAUUCUUUUGUGGUUAUCUUAGAGUAUGCUUGUUGUGUGUGUGUGUUGUCUAGUGUGUUGAACGUGUGGACUGUGACUAACGGGUACCGCCAUGCUUCAGCCAGGGUGUGGGAGUACAUCUCGAGGUCCGCGAGUGAUCUCGUCGAGUUCAUGUUAUGUUGUGAGGCCCUCGCGGGGGCGGGUAGAGGUAGUUUUUUUAGGUGAUGGUGGUCUUGAGGACGGGGUGGUGUGAGGGGGUGGUGGGUGUUAGGUGAUAUUGUGGGGGGGUUAGUAUAUAUAUAUAUAUAAAAUCAAAAACACCACAUUAAAGAACUAUAUACAAUAAUCAAAAACACCACAUUAAAGAACUAAUAUAGUUUUCUUUUUAAAAAAUUUGGGAAAUUUCAAAUACCAUCCGUAAUUUUACAUUUACUCACUUUAGUAUCUUAUAAUUUACAGUAUAUCAAUUUAAUAUUCUGUGGUUUUAUUUUUCUCUUUUUAUUAUCAAUUUCACUAUUUUUUUUGUUAAAUGAGUGACAAAGUUAAAACUAAAAGGUACUAAAGUGAAUAUUCGAUAAAUUUAAGUGGAAUAUCUGAAGUUUUUUAUAUAUAAUUUGAUAAAAUAUUAACAAAUGAGCUGACGAAAAAAAAAAAAAUGAAACCACGGGACACUAACUUGAUACAUUUUAAACUAAAGGAUACUAAAAUAAGAAACUGCGAAACCAAAAGAGUGGAAUUUGAUGUUUACCCUAUGGAUGCGUUUGGUUCGCAUUAUAAAAGAUUACUAGGAAUGAAAAGAUGUCCGAGAAUUUUAUUCCUAUUCAUUCUAUUACUAAGAAUGUGAAAUUCCUGUAUUUGGUUCGCACGGUCAUAUUAUUUAGCCAUAUUAUUUAUGGUUACAAAAAAUAUACUAUUUAUUUAUUUAUUUAAUUAAUUAAUUUUAGAUAAUGCUAUCAAAAAUUUCAGCAUCUUUUUUUAAAAAAAUGAGAGAGAGUAUAGGUUAGAGAGAGCAUAAUUAAAAAAAUACAAAGAGAAAUAGAGUCGAAAUUAGAGGGAGUGAGAGAGUUGAGAUUUUAGAAAAAGAGGAAGAGAGAAAGCUUAGUUUAGAGAGAGAAAAAUAGUUGAAUUUUAGAGAGAAAGAUAAGUUUAGAGAGAGAUAUGAGAUUAGAGUGUAAAGAAAAAUAAUACCAAUUAGCCGGCGGAUAGGGAGAAAGAAAGAGAUUAGACAUAUUAUGAUUAUUUCAAUCCAUUAAUAUGAGGAUACCCAUCCUCUCUCAAAGGAAUGAGAUUAGUACUUUAGGAUGAAUUUUAUUCCCAAAUAAAUCUAAUAUUACCAAUUAGAUUACUUAGUACCUUUAGUCAAACACCGUCAUAUUUUUUUAUUUCUAUUGGAUUAUUAAAAAUCUUUAAAAGAUAGCGCGAACCAAACGCACUCUAUAAAUUUUGUAUGAGUUACGUUUGUAUAUACUAACUGAUAUUAAAUACUGUAUAUUAAAUACUGUAUAUAAUAGUUAGUUGUUGUUGUCUAAGUAAAGCGAUAAAGCAAUUUAAAAAAGAAAAAAACACCUUGGAAUCUACAAAUUUUAUUUGAAUUUUUAUAAAAAUAAUAUCAAAAACUGUCCUGAUUAUUAAUUAGAAAAAGGGCAUUGAAAAAAGUGGAUGGAUAUAUUAUUAUUUGAUUUUAAAUAUGAGUUUAUUACUGAUCUAAUGCUAGCUACCUUCCUAGCGAAAAAUUCUAGAAUGCAACGGGUAUAUUAGUGACGUGGCGUAACAAAUCAAUCAAAUUAAUUCUUUUAAGAAUAUAUGUCCCAUCAUGAUUGUAAAAAAAUAUUUUUAUUAUACUUUUGUUUGGAAAAAAAGAAUAUGGUUGACUUAUUAUUAAUGACGUUGUGCAAGUGUGAUAGUGUAGAAUUCCUCCUUCCAGGUUUACCGAAACUGAACAGAGCCGUGUCAUGGAGGGCAAGAAUAUUUUAUUGGAAAAAAUGUACAAUCUGCAAACGUCCGGACACAGCUGAUCCGUGCACAAAUGGGUCUGUGGUUUCGAGAAGCGAAAAACGUGGGGCGGGGAAAAGCACUCACAGGAAUAUACUGUUUGUCUACUCUGAAUAACAUUUUUCCAUUUUGGACUCUCAAUUAGCACGUAUCUAUUUACUAUAUACUAAAGUAAAAUUUUUUAAAUAAUACUAUCACGUGACUUUUUAUAUAUUUAUCAUAUAUCAAACUCAAAUAUAAAAUAGCAAUUUUAUUAGAAAAUACUAUUAAAUCAAAUUAAAUCAAAUUAUAGUAAUUAACAAAUUAUACCAAUUAAAUAUAAUCAUAUAUACAAUUAGGAAACACUAUUAAAUCAAAUUAAAUCAAAUUAUACCAAUUAAAUAUAAUUAUAUAGAGCAGGGCUGCUGUGCUCUUAGGAGCACAUAGGCCUCCGUGCUCCUGAGCUAUUUUCGAUGAUGAAAUUUUCGAAUCGACGAUCGGCUCCGUUAGACUUGAUCUAGCACAUUUGAAGUUUCUAGAAAAUAAUUUUUGCGAUUUUUUGAUAUCAUUUACCUAGUGAUCGAAAGGAUUCAAAAUCCAUAGUUUUUAAUGAUUGAUAUCUGCCGUUUUCAAGUUUAACGGUGUAGAAGUAUUCAAAUUAGAUGAAAUUUUGAUACAAAAUUCUUUAUACUAUCUACAACAAGAUCAAUAUUUCUGAUCGAAAAUUGUAGUGCUAUAUCACCACUUUUUAUAGGAUUUUUAUUUUCAGCCGUUAAAAAUUAUUGAUUUUGAAUCCUUUCGAUUGCAAGGUAAAUAAUAUCGAAAAAUCGCAAAAAUUAUUUUCUAGAAACUUCAAAUACACUAGAUCAAGUUUAACGGAGCCGGUCGUCGAUUCGGAAACUCCAUCAUCGAAAACGGCUCAGGAGCAUGGAGGCCUCCGUGCUUCUUAGAGCACAGCAGCCCUGCUCUAAUUAUAUAUACAAUUAGAAAACACUAUUAAAUCAAAUUAAAUCAAAUUAUAUCAAUUAAAUAUAAUUAUAUAUAUAAUUAGAAAAUACUAUUAAAUCAAAUUAAAUCAAAUUAUACCAAUUAAAUUAAGUGUCUAUUAAAAGAAUUACGAUUCUCAUCUCUUUUUAGAGGAUGCACUGUUUUUGGGAACCCAUUGUUGUGCCAUAAGUCAAGUUUUUGCUAUCUUCAACAAGAAGUACUGCAUGAAAUUUCUUUUCGAGUUUUUUUUCAUUGUUUCUUAAUAUUCUCUAUGUGCCAUGCACCUAAUUAUAAAUAUUGCAUAUCACUUCUCUACUAUCACUUUUUCUGUAAUUUUCACUUCGUUUUAAUAAUAUUCGGUACAUUUCAGUUAAGUGGCUAUUGAGCAGUUUUUCUUAAUUCUUAGAUGUUGAUGCUUGAAAAUAGAACAUAUUGUUUUCAUUUUAUUAUUUAAAUACGAAACAAGUAUUAAUUUUUUUUUUUUCUGGAUGUCUUAUUGUUCUCAGGAUAUGUCACUUGAGUUUGAUUUUAUAAGUGACAUCACUCCUCUUGGAGACAAAUGGAAGAUCAAAGUUAGAGUGAUUUGUCUGUAUACUAUGCCUGAAUUUCAUCGUCCAGUGAUGGUGAAUAGUCUAGACUUAGUUCUUUCUGAUCAAAAUGUAAGAUACGACUGUUAUUGAAGCAGGUACUUUCAUCUUCAUGCAACAAAGUUUUUUUUUCCUUCAUAUUUUCUUGAAGACCAACAUCUAUAUAUAUUUGAAUCUUGGAAGUUGGUAUGUCUCUCAUAUACGUAUGCUUACUCUAAUUUGUGUCAAACAUGAAAGUUUAGUUGAUCUGAUUAUAUGAUUAAAUAUUAAUGUCAUUUGUAAUUUUUCACAUCAAUUUGAGUUCUCAUUUUGUUUUGUACAUCAAUAUGAAAAUGUAAAUUAUUUUGUACACCAAUUCAUAGAUAAUAGAACAGGGUUGAAUUUUUUAUCUUUACCUGAGUAUUUAUUUUGAUCCAUAAUUUUGUUUUUCUAGCUUUUAUACUUUAAUAUGUACUAUAAUUAAGAUUGAUAGUAUAUUUCUUUAUUUGUUAAAAAAAUAUAAUAUUAAUUAUAAUGUUUUUCUUUUAUCAUCACAUAAUAACUUUUGUUAUUUUAUAUUAGGGUUAUUUGCAUACACGUCGCUGCAAACAUAGUAAAUUGUAGAAAUAUUCCUGCAAAACGAAAAUUUCAUAAGUUGUCCCUACAAAAAUCAUAAGUUAUGCAGAUUUGUCUCUGCUGUUAGAGUCUGUUAGAGAAAUUUAGUUAACCACAGUUAAACUACUUAACCACGACUAGUUAAUAGUGUGAAUUUACGGUUCUACCCUUCUUCCUCAUCGUUCUCUUCCUUUUCCCUCUUCUUCAUCGCCGGCGACGAGAUGCGGCGACGGCGGCGACGUCGGCGAACCCUCUCCCUCUUCCUCUUCCCUCUUCUUCUUCCUCUCCCUCUUCCUCUUUCCUCUUCCUUUUCCCCUUCCUUCUUCCUCUCCCUCUUCCUCUUCCCUCUUCUUCGUCGCCGGCGAGGGAGAAGAUGCGGCGGCGGCGGCGGCGGCGAACCCUCUCCCUCUUCCUCUUCCUCUUCCUCUCCCUCUUUCUCUUCGCCCUUCUUCUUCCUCUCCUUUUUUCUCUUCCCUCUUCCUCAUCGCCGGCGAGGGAGGAGGUGAUUCGGCGAAGGCUGUGGCGGGGGCAAACCCUCUCCCUCUUCCUCUUCCUCUUCCUCUUCCCUCUUCCUUUCCUUCUUCCUCUUCCCACUUCUUCUUCCUCUCCCUCUUUCUCUUCCUUCCUCUUUGUCGCUGGCGAACCCGACCCCGCGUCGCCGCCGUUGUCCGCUCUGACGGCCCGAAGAGGAAGAGAAAGAGAAGGGGAAGAGGAUACUUUUGGAGGGAUAUAUUUGUGAGGGCAAAACAGUCUUUCACAAGAAAACUAUUAAAAAAUAAACAGUUCACUAACGGAAUUUAACGAAAGGGACAUAUCUGCAUAACUUAGGACUUUUGCAGGGACAACUUAUGGAAUUUCUGUUUUGUAGAGAUAUUUCUGUAAUUCACUAUAUUUGCAGGGACAUGUAUGCAAAUAACCCUUUAUAUUAUUAUGUUAGUCGUGCAUCGCACGGGUCAAAUACUAGUGGAUUAUAAUUAUUAUAGCUUAUAUAUAGAAUUAUGCUCAUAUAUUAUCGAUAGUAUCAAUCGCUUGAUGUUAUCAAUUUUUCAACCGUUGAAUAAAAGAAUGUUCUGAUUAGGAUGAUAGUGGUCUCUUAGAGUUGAUUGGGUGGUUGGUUGAAUAGUAUAAUUUAACGGAUAAAAAUGACCAAAGAGUAGAUAUAGCGCCAGAAAACUCGAUAGUACCAAAAACUUUGUACUAUCGAUAGUAUAAUAGCCGGACUCUCUCUCUCUCUCUAUAUAUAGAGAGAAAGAGAGAGAGAAAGUUGAGUUGGAAUACUAUUAAUAGUAUUUUAGCUCUUUUGCUAUCAAUUUUCUAGCCGUUAGAUCUACACUUUAAUAAAUUCCACCCGUUAGAUCAUACUAUUCAACCAACCACCCAAUCAACCCUAGAACAUCACUAUCAUCCUAAGCCUAUAAUUAUUGAUCCAAGGUUAAAAACUAUAUAGUAAAAGAGCUCAAAUACAUUAAUAGUAUUCCAGUCCAAUUAUAUACAUAUCUAUAUAGAGCUAGUCUCCUAUACUAUCUAAAGUAGCGGAGCUUCAGUACUAUAGUCUCGUUUUCGAUCUUAGGGUGUUCAAAUCAACGAUCCACAUCGUUAAAACUGAUCUAGUGUAUUUAAAGUCUUUAGAAAUAAAAUUUUAUAUUUUUUCGACAUAGUUUACUUUAUGAUCAAACCAUUUCAAAAUUGUCAAUUUUCAAUGGCUAUUAUGGCGAGUUUGGAGUUUAACGGCAUAGAAGAAUCUAAAUUUCUUCAAAUUUUGAUAAAAAUACUUUAAACUAUCUAGAUUAAGGUUAACAUUCUUGAUCUUGAAUUUAAAAAUCCUAUACUCAAAUUUUAAAGAUUAUUCAAUUUUCGCUAUCCAUUUUGACAUAAUUUAUUUACUAAGUAAACGAUGUCGAAAAAAACUAAAAUUUUAUUUCUAAGAACUUCAUAUACUCUAGAUCAUAUUUAACAGUGUGGAUCAUUAAUUUGAACACCCAAAGAUCGAAAACAAGACUAUAGUACCGGAGCUCCGGUACUAUAGAUAGUAUAAUAGCCUAAUUCUAUAUAUAUAUAUAUAUAUAUAUAUAGAGAGAGAGAGAGAGAGAGAGAGAGAGAGAGUCCGGCUACUAUCGAUAUACUAUCGAUAGUACCAAAUUCUUAGUACUAUUGAGUUUUCUGCUGUUACAUCUACCUUUUGAUUAUUUCCAUCCGGUAAAUUAUACUAUUCAACCAACCAAUCACUCAACCUAGGGGACCACUAUCGAUAUUAUAGUAGUAUAAUUCUAUAUAUAAAUAUAUAUAGAGAGAGAGAAAGAGAGUUCGAUUAUAAUGCUUUUAAAAGCAGCAAGUACUUAGUACUUGUAAAUUUUCUACCAUUAAAUCUAUUCUUUUACCAUUUUCACCUGUUAGAUCAUACUAUUCAACCAACCACCCACUCAUCCCUAAAGGACCACUAUUAUCCUAACCGCACUUCCCUUCAUCCAAGGGCAGAAGAUGUAAUGGUACAAAGAGUUUGGUGUUAUUAAUAGUAUAGUAACCUAAUUCUAUAUAUAUAUAAAAAAUCAUAUGGAACAAUGACCCGAAAAUGUUAUUGAGUCAAGGCUCGCUAGCUCUACCAAUGAGUCAACCACUUGUUAAACCAAUGACAUCAUCAUGAUGUUAUAAAUAUUUUAAUAAUUAUUUUUAAUUUUGUUAUAUAUAAGAUAAUACAUAUAUUAUUAUUUUAGCUUCAUAAAAUAUUGAUUUCUAGACCAAAUUAAAUGGGUAUAAGUUUUUUAAUUUCAAUUUUUAUAAAACCUAUAUAUGCUAAAAGAAAAUGAAAUUAGUUAAGUUGAAUUUAAGCGGUUGGAUUUUAAUAUGACUUAAUUAAAAAAUUCUGGCCGGUUUAAUUAAAACCAAAUCCAUUCACAUGUAUCGUCUGUUCGAACAGUUCAAAGCAAUUUUUUUGGCUUAUAGAUUGGAUCAUAAUCAAACCGUUCGAACCAAUCAGUUCAACCUAAUUUUAAAUUAUCGGUAAAAAUAGUAGUAGCUGCCGACAGGAGAAGUUAUUAGAAUAAUACACAUCUAUUACACCAAAACUCUAUCUUUCUCUAACCUGUCGAUAUCAAAGUAUGAGGAAGUCCACUGUACAGCGGUUAAUUUCAUACAGAUCCCUACAAAUAUAGUAAAUUAUAAAUAUAUCUUUAUAAAAUUUAACUUUCAUAUGUUGUUCCUACAAAAGUCUUAAUAUUUUUAAAUAUAUCUCUCUGGUUCGUUACUGUUAAAGUACUAUCUAUUUUAUAAGUGAAAUGACCUUUUUGCUUUGCCAUUACAAAUAUAUCUCUCUAAAAGUUCCAACUGUUAAUUGAAAAGCGAUAAAAAAGAUCAAUUCACCUCAUUAACUAACUAAAGUUAAGUAUUUAAUCUAUAAUUAACUAAAAUUUUCUAACGUAUUCUAACAGCAAUGAAUAUAUUUUAAAAUAUCAAUAUUUUUACAAGAACAGUAUAUAAAACUUGAACUUUAUAAAAACAUAUUUAUAAUUUACGAUAUUUAUAGAGCGAUCUGUAUAUAAUUAUACCUACAAUUUAACUAGUCAGAGACACCGCAUUAUCACCCCUGUAUUUUGUAGGCUUUCUCUUUUUUUUUAGUGAGGUAUCGACAUCGCAAUGAGUGAUGCAGUGACGUAAUCACAACUUUUGCCACGUACCCAACACGGCGUUUUCUUUUUCUUUACUUUAUUUUUUUGUCGCUGCAGGAGGAUCUUGACGAGGUUCGUGAGGACUCGGAGGCCGCCAUUUGCGUUCGCUUCUAUUCAUUUAAAACUUAUUUAUUUAUUUAUUUAUUUAUUUUACUAUUCAGUCACCAUUAUUUUAAUUGGACUUUUGAGUCUUGCGUUUUUAUCUUUUCCUCUGCUUUAUUAAUUUGUCACCUCACUUAGCUUUUGCCGCUUUGUUUCGUUCUUUUAUUAGGCGAUCGGUCCGAUGGAGAUACGUCGUACGGUAGUGAUGCCAAAACGGAUAGAUUUUUUUAUCACACAGGUUGGAACUAAAACCGAAAAGAUUUAGUUCGUCGAUGCGAAAAUACCAAAAAAGAUUCGAAAAAGAGAAAAGAAAAAUAAAACACACAAUAUUUACGUGGUUCGGCCAACGGUCUAUGUCCACGAGCGAAGACGGAGCGGAAAUCUUCAUUAGAAUCAAAAUAGUGUACAAAAUACGCCUCUCUCAUAAAACCCUAAUUCCAAAAAAUACACCCAUAUUUUCUCUCUCAUCUUCCGCAAUAAAUCAACAGCAGAAAGAGUAUAUUUAUAAUAGUGACUAAAUCCUAAUACGAUUAGAAAUACAAAUCCACUAAAAUUAGAAAUAUCUCGAUAAAUUAGGCACAAUCUAAACUUAACUUAAUGGGAUAAUUGAAACAGAAUAGGGUUAGAAGACCUUGCGGUACUAGAAUUUGAGACAUAUUUAACAGCACAAAAAUUCGGUGGAGACUGUUCCUAAUAAUAGAGCAUGUCAACGAGCCGAACAGCAGAGAGCUGAAAAUAUAUCGUAUUCGACUCAUUUGUUAUAAUAAAUGAACUGAGCACGAUCUAAUUCAUUAAAAUAUAUCGUUAGUAAAUUCUAUUCUUAGUACAAUAGAAUUAGAUUAAAAAGACAUAUUUUUAAGAUAUUUUUGUGUAAGUAUUUUAUUUAUGUCAAAAAAUUUUAAAAAAAAUUUAUUAACGCCUAAAUAUAAAAUCCAAUCCAAUCAAAAAUAAAAAGUUACACUACUCAACCAACUCCACACAGCCCAUUCGGUCCAAUUACAAAUAAAAAAGAAAAAAAAAAUUGAUCAUCAUUUCCCGCUCUCCUCCUCAGCCGCAGCCGACGAGAUAGGACUCCGGCGGCUGGAGUUCAGCCGCAAGCAUCUCAUAUGCACCGUGAAAAAUUACGAUCGUCAAGUAUCCCUCCGCCACAUAUCGCUGGAAGAGUGGGUGCCAAUAUUAAAGCGGCCCUAUAUAUAGUGACCCUACAUAUAGCAACACUUAUAAAAAGUAUCGGUAAUUUAGCCAGCAGUAUUUUUUUUUAUCUGUACCGAUAUUUAAAAAUAUCGCUAUACACCAUUUUUAUUGUAGUGUCUGAUCGCCGACAUAUCAUAUUUAAUGGGUUUAAUAAACGAGUUAAAAUAUUCAAUUGAAAAAAUUCAGCUCUGAUUGCCCUACUACCGGGUUGAAAAGUUAGAAAAAAUAAUUUAAAAAAUUAGAUUCUUAAUCUAAUAAAUAAAAUUCACAAAAUAGAGGCGAUUUAUAUUUGGAUUAGCUUAAAAUUUAAAUAGUAAAUAAUUGUAAUAUAAAUGCACAUAUAAGUAAUCGUCUUUAUUGACUUUUGAUCUAACCACAAAAAGAGAAUUCACUGACUAAAAUUUAGAAGGACCUAUACCUUGGUGCCACAAAAGCAUUCGAGGUUAGCCAUAUAUGUAUAGGAUCCGGCUAGGAUGUUUCUAAUAGCACCAAACAUCUAGUGCUACUAAAUUUUUUACUGUUUAAUUUAUCUUUUUAAUUAUUUUUAUUCGUUAAAUUAUACUAUUGAACUAGCCACUGACUCAACUCUAGAGAACCGUUAUUAUUCUAAUCGUACAUCCCUUCAUCCAAGAGCCGAAUAUCUAAUAGCACCUAUGACUUGGUGCUAUUAGAAGCAUUCCAGUCUAAUUCUAUAUAUGUGUGUGUUUGCGCUCAUUCCAGUAUAUCGAGCCGAACACAAGUGAGCUAAUUAUAACUCGUGUUUAACUCGUUAAGAUUUCGAACUAAAAAUUUAGCUCGUAUUCAACGCAUUUAUUAAACAAUCGAUCAAUCUUGAGCUCAUUCCGAAUCGAGCAAGAGUUAGCUCAUGAAGACAAGCUCGAUUGACAACCCGGUUCCUAAAAUAGGACAGUUUCCUCUACCAUUCAUCACAUAAAUCGUCUCAAAUCUUAAUUAAAUAGUAAUAUUUUUGUUAGAGCCAAUAAUAAAAUGCCAAAUGGCAUAUUGGUGCACAGUUCAGCCAGAACCUUCAAAGAUCAAGAUUAAAUGGGUUUCGUGGUGCACCAGGAGUAAUGGCAGAUUAAUAGCAUAACCACAGGGUAUAACUGCAAGCGGUUAUGUGCAGUUUUGAUCGGCUUGUAAUGGCCCGCAAAAAUAGAAAAUUGACCGAUCAUGAAGCAAUAACUAAACAAUAAGGGUGGACUAUAAAUAGGCAAAUAAUGCCAAAAAAGGAGGUUUUUUUUUUUUAGAAUAGAAGACCAUUUUUAUUUCUCUACAUUUUCUUUACAUUUUCUAGGAAUAGUCUACUUGUAAUCUUUUCCUUUUUCGCAUCUACUGUUUUUCGUAGGAAUAGUUCUAAGUCAGAUUUUCGGAGUCUGUAUACCCUAAAGGCACACUCGCGUUUGUACAAAUUCAUAGAUUUAAUUUCAAUAUAUAAAGACAUUCGGCUCUUUCAACCGAUCAAUUACUAUGCAUUUCAUCCAUUCGGCUCAUUCAGCCGAACUUGUUCUACAGUAAGGAUUUUCGAACUCAGCUGAUCCGAUCGCAAAUCAGCAGAAUCGCCUGAUCCGUCGGAGGGCGCAAGCUUCGACCUCGAGGGUCAUCAUGUGAAGCCGGAUUUAAUUGUCGCACGUUUUCCUAGGAAGGCUUUUGACCAGGUCAACGACUGAGAAAUUCAGCUCAUAGCAAUUUUAAAAACUCAUAUCAAAUAGCGACUCGUAAAUAUUACUGGGUUAAGAGUCAAGGGCCGGUGACAUCGGCGUAACAUCAUAAAUAUUUAAUUUUAUUUUUAAUUUUAUUAUAUAGAAAAAUAUUCAUAGAUUAUUAUUCUAAUAUUGUACUUAAUUAAACAAAUACUAAUUUUUAUAACAAAUUUUGUAGCAUAAAUUUUUAAGUUUUAUUUUUUGUAAGACUAAUCUAUGCUAAUAGAAAGUAAGAUUAGCGAAGCAUAUUUUAAGCCGCUGAUUUUUAAUAUGACUUGAUACAAAAUCGAAUCUGGCCAUUUAAUUUUUUUAAAUGUUAAAUUAAACUAUUAAUAAAUAUUAGCUAUUAAAAUAGAUAUCUAAAAAAAUAUAUUUAUAUUUUAAUAUAUAAAAUAUGUUUUUACAUAGGUUUAGUUUUGGGUUCCGAUUUGGAUUCAGUACAACUAAAGAUAAAAAUUAUAACGCUUUAUUUUUUCCCAUAUUUGAAAUCAGAUUCGGAUUCAGUUAUAAUUUCGAACAUCCAUAUCCGUUAACAUCCGUAACUGUACAUAUUAUUGAAAUACUUUAUUUUCUUUUAAUAUUUUGACCUAGAAAUAGUUAAUAGUCACAAAGUUGAUUAAUUAGAAAACAUUAUCAUGAGGAAUUUUUUAUUUAUGUGGAACUUUUUUUUAUUGUACUAGUAAUGCUUAUGAAUACAACACGUAUAGAUCAUAAGUACAUCAAUAUGUAACGCAUUAGUAUAACUGCACAUCAUUAUUUUUUUUUAAGUCAUAUGGUGUAUAAAAAGCGUAUUAAUAGUGUGUAAAAUGUAAUAUGGUGUGUUAAAAAUGUAAAAUUUUCUGAUUUUAGCCAAAUAAAUUCGAGAGAUUUUGCCAAGUUAAUUUAAUAAUUUGGCCAAGUUUAAUAUUUUAAACUCAUAAAACUAUAAAAUAUUACAAAAAUUUUAACUUAGUUAACUAGAAAUGUAGAAGUCAAAAGAGGUGUAAAUACAGCCAGAAAAAAAAAAAAGAAAAAAAGAAAAAAAAAGAAAGAAAAGUUGAAGUGUCUAUCUCAGAAUCACCUAUAGCUUAGGGGGUCUCCAUAUAAUUUUACUUAACAAAUCUCAUUUUAUUAUUCGUUUGGUUCGGGUUAUAAGAACUAGUUAUUUUUGGGAUAGAUAUAAGUUCAGGUGUAAGCCGAAAAUAGAUCAAUUUUACAUUUGAAUGAAAAUUGAGUUAUUUCUGGGAAUAAAAAAAAAUAGCGUUUGAAUAAAUAAGAUAGAAUAAGAAGAAUAAUGAGCAGUUAUAAAUAGAAAAUAAACUCCUGUUGGCCACCUCGAUCCUUGGGGUCACUUUUUUCACCCCCAAUCCACUAGGAGUGCUGGGUGGCAGCCGGGGUGGGCUAUCUUUUGGGCUGUUUAGUGGGCCCCCACCGAGUAUCCGAGCCGGGCCCGCUUCGUUAUUUUUUUGUCAGGCCUUGAGAGCAAUCUUGAGUGCACCAUUGGCCCUUGAGUAGGGUUUCCUUUUCUCUUGUGACAGUUGGGCCUUUUCGGUCACACCUGCAGGGAAGGAUUCAACGGACGGGUGCCGCAUUACAGCAGAUUCUUAUUUUCUUCAGCAACUGCCACUCGGAGUUGUGGGAGCAGCCGCGACCAACUGCACUUUGCUCCCCUCUACUGAUCUGAUUGCUGGGGACUCGGUCUUUUCAGAUGCCUUCGGAUUUCAAUCGCCUUCCACCCCUGAUCUUCUGGUUAGCCCAAACUUUGAUCCGGUUCUGAGUGGGAUCCCAGCGUGUGUGUCUGAGCCGCAGAUACCGGGGGCAAUAGAGCCAGUGCCGUCAGGUAGUUCAAGAGCCUCUUCCCCAGCGAUGGUGCCAAGAACCUGUAAGCGACUCGCUGCAUACCGCAAGCGAUCAAUCCUACACAAGGCAAUGGAAAGGAAGAGCAUUCAGCGUGAGGGGGUUCAGGAGGUUGGGCGCAGAACUCCUGUGGAGAAGAUCACCUACAAGAGUCACCUCUGCGGGGUGGAUUUAGGAGAGAACGAGGCUAAGACCUUCUCCGCUUUUCUGAACGAAUGCAAAUAGGCAGGACGAGUAGGGUUUCUGUAGACUCUUUUUUUGGGUUUUGGUGGUGAGAGUCUAUCUGUUUUUUAUAUGUUUCGCGUCUGUAGCUGGAAUGUUAGGGGGCUCAACGACCCCUCUAAACGGUGUGCCGUUAGGGCCGUAGUGUCUAAACUUCAUAAUGCAGUAGUUUGUAUCCAGGAGUCGAAAGUUGAUCAUGUUUCGAGUUCCUUCCUUAGUAGUUUCGGGGGACCUUUGUUAAACAAAUGUGUUUUUCUUGAAGCCAACGGUGCCUCUGGGGGGAUUAUUACGAGUUGGAGUUCCCGUUUUUUCACUUGCUUGGAGGUCAUCGUAAGGACAUACUCCAUUACUACUCUGCUUUCCUCCACCACGGGCGGGUCUAAGUUUUUUCUCACGAACGUCUACGGACCCGCCUCUUGGGACGGCAAGGAAGAUUUCUUCGCCGAAUUGGUUCAGCUGAAAGAUCAUUGCGUGGGCAAGUGGAUCAUCUGCGGCGAUUUUAACUGUACGAGAGGUCAAGAGGAGCGAAGGGGAAAACUUUGGAGCACCAAAGCCACAAACUUAUUCAACGAGCUGAUCAGAGAGCUUGCCUUGAUUGACCCACCGAUGUCCAACCAAUCCUUCACUUGGUCCAACAUGCAAGCACUUCCAACGUGUACGCGGCUCGAUCGUUUCCUUGUCUCAACUGAAUGGGAUCAUGAGUUCCCCCUCUCCAGAGUUGAAGCACUUCCUCGAAUUACUUCAGACCAUUGCCCUAUCUUGCUAACUGUGGAAAAUUCUGCUAGGGUGAAUCACACGAUCUUCCGGUUCGAGGAGGCUUGGUUGAACCAUGAGGGUUUUACCUCUAAACUUCCGGAUUGGUGGAGGGAGGUUCCACUGAACACGCGGAAUACCCAGAAUAAAUCGGCAGUUUUAACCUUCACAGCGAAGCUGAGACACUGUCGCAUUAGGAUCAAGGAGUGGUGUGCUAAUGAAUUCUACAGUAUUAGAGGAGUUAAAAACCACCUAAUGGAAGAAAUACAGAAGAUUGAUAAAGCUGAGGAACUGGGUGAUUUUUCGAACAACUUAUGCUCUAUGAGAGCGGAACUUAAGGCUAAUCUAGGAAAAGUCUUGGACGACGAAGCUACACUUUGGAGAUCCCGGGCCAAACAGCACUGGCUGCGAGAGGGGGACAGUAAUACUAAGUUCUUCCACGCUGUAGCUAACGGCAGACGCAGAGCUAACUGGAUUGGCACGAUCGUCGAUAACGGUUCCACUUACCAAGCUGAAGAGGAUAAACGAAAUUAUUUUUACCAAUCCUUCAAGUCACUGUUCACUCCUAAGGUAUCGGCCCCACCUUCCUUUGGAAACUGGGACAGGUUAUUCCAAUCCGAUAGCAUUGCGACUCCUGAUUUAGCAAGGUUAUCCGAUCCCUUCAAUUUAGAGGAAAUCAAGAAAGCCGUUUUUCAACUGGGAAGCGACAAGGCGCCGGGACCGGAUGGUUUCCCUUUGAAGUUCUACCAAACGUUUUGGGACACUGUUAAGGAUGAUAUUUUGAGUAUCUUUCAGGAAAUGUACGAGGGAAGGCUCUCCACGGAUGCCAUCGACUACUCUUUCAUUUGCCUUAUUCCUAAGAACGAGGGGGCAGUGCGAGCAAAUGACUUUAGACCCAUAAGCUUGUUAAACGGGAUCCAAAAAAUUUUAUCUAAGGUUUUGACCAAUAGGCUAGACCAGGUUAUGAAGGAUCUGAUAUCCCCGUCUCAGUCUGCUUUCCUGAAAGGCAGGAACAUUACCGACGCUUUUGCAUCAGUUUCCGAACUUAUUGGAUGGGGUAGCAAAUUGUCCGUCGAAGGUGUCGGGAUAAAGGUUGAUUUUGAAAAGGCCUACGACAGGAUUUAUUGGCCAUUUCUUUUCCAAAUUCUACGGUGGUGGGGUUUCAAUGACAAGUGGUGUGAAUGGAUCGAAUCUUGCGUGUGCCACGCGAAAGUGGCAGUACUUGUUAACGGAGAGCCGACCAAAUGGAUAAAGACGAAGAGAGGCGUAAGACAAGGGGAUCCGAUUUCACCUUAUCUAUUCUUACUGGUGGCUGAGUGCCUGGCUCGUUUGACCAAUGAGGCGGCCUCUAACAGUCUCAUUAAAGGCCUCGGCCCGUCCGAGGGAUGUAGGGUCACUCUCACUCAAUUUGCGGACGAUACCUUUUUCUUCUGCGAAGCAAAAAGCAGGUACUUGAAAAAUCUCAGGUUUAUUUGGCGCCUCUUCGAGUGGGCCUCGGGAAUGAAAAUCAACAGGAAGAAGACGGAGCUUUACUAUCUGGGACAGGAGGUCGGUAAAGGAGCCAGAUUAGCAAACAUUUUGGAAUGCAGAGUGGGCACCCUCCCAACCAAUUAUUUGGGUCUACCGCUCUCUCCCAGAUCACCAUCCAAGGAGGCAUGGAUGGGGAUCAUACAAAAGAUACACCGCAGAAUAGAGGGCUGGCAGGCUAAACUACUAUCUAGGGGGGGUAGACUUAUCUUAGUUAACGCGGUACUAACCAACAUACCCCUAUACUCUCUUUCCGUGUUCAAGGCCCCCGCGUGGGUGAUUAAGCACAUCGAAGCCCUUAGAAGGGACUUCUUCUGGAAUGGUGGGCGCAGCACCCCGGGCAAAGGAUGCCUAGUGGCUUGGAAAAACGUUUGUAAGUCCAAAAAGGAAGGCGGGUUAGGUAUCUUGGAUGUUGCGACCAUGAAUCAAGCGUUAUUGACUAAAUGGUGGUGGAAAUUCCACAUUGCACCUGAACUACAGUGGAACAAGUUAAUCCGGGUUCUGUACUAUCGUAGAAGAAAACCACUGAGGGAAGGCAGAUACUUUAGACCUUUCUCUUGUUGGUGGAAAGGUAUCCUUACUUGCAGCACCAUCUUUAAAUGGGGUGCAACCUUUGAACUAGGAAACGGUAAAGCCAUCGACUUCUGGCAGGACAGGUGGUGUGGGGAGAAAACUUUGAACCUUCUGUUCCCAGAAGCUCAUCUCACAACUGAGGGGAAAAACUACAGAGUUAGCGACUAUUUCACGAGGGGUAGUUGGAAUUGGACCAAGAUACUGGGUGCCGAAGUGGGCCGUUUGCAAGGGCUGAUACCGAACCUCUCGGAGCUAGUGGAAAGGGUCUCCAACUUCUCUGUCGGACAUAGACCUGAUAAGAUCCUUUGGCGGUGGAGUUCAGACGGACAGUUUUCGGUCAAAUCGACUUAUUUGGCUUUGACGGACGGCGGGGUGAGAGACGCACGCGCCGCCACCAUCUGGAGUCUCAAAAUCCCCCUUAAAGUAAAAGUCUUUAUCUGGUUGGUCCUUAAGAAAAGAAUCCUGACACGCGAUAGACUUGCUAAGAGAUGGUGGAUCGAUGACCCCACCUGCGUGCUUUGCGGGUCGGACGAGGAAUCAGUGGACCAUCUGUUUACCCACUGUGUAUUCUGCAAAUUCAUCUUGGUGUUAGGGGACGACGAGAUCCAGGCCCAAGACCUGGGGGAUGAGGUGAAUCUUGUUUGGGAUAGGUGGACUGGCAAGAAAGACCCUCUUAAUAAGCGUACCAGACUUGCUGAACUAGCGGGAUGCUGGUGGGUGAUCUGGAAGGUCAGAAACGAUGUAAUAUUUCGGAAUAUUCCCCCUAACCCGGGGAUAGCGGUCCAUAGAUUCAAACUGCUUGUGAAGGAGUGGGAGCUUCUCCUCCGGUCAUAAUUUGUUUUUUUUUUUUUUUUUUUUCUCUCUCUGGGGCCGGGUUGCCUCACAUUUGUAGCUUAGUUCAUAUGAUCAAUGAAUGAAGCGGGUAGCAUGCUACCUCUUUCUCAAAAAAAAAAACAAACACAUCGACUACAUAGAUUAACAUUGUUUAAUUAGUUAUCAUGCCUUAAAGCAGACGCAAAUAAAAGAUCAACUAUACGGAGUUUUUACUACUAGUCUCGUAUGUAUUACUUCACUGGGGAUCAAUAAUCCAGUCCAAUGGAUCAUUUGUUUAUAGUCAGUUUUGCUAAAAAAAGACUUAGGUUUGUUAUCACAUAUAUAUAUAACUAGCAACUAACCCGUGCAAUGCACGGAUUUUAAAUUUAUCUUUUAAUUACAAUUUUUAUAUAAUAUAUAUUAAUUUUUACAUAUUAANUUAAAAUUUAAAUAUAUAUCUUUAAAAAUUAAAAAAAUUAAAAUAAAAUUUUAAAUUUUAAAUCUCAAAUUCAAAAAUUUAAAGUUCUAAAUUUUAAAUUUAAGAUUAAAUUUAAAUUUAAAAAUAUCAAAUAUCAAAUUUUAAAUUUCAAAAAUUAAAAAUAAUAAUUUAUAAUUUAUAAAUAUAUUAAUUAAGAUUAUAAAUUCUUUAAUUUAAAAAAUUAAAAUUUAAAAUUUAAAAUUUUAAUUAUAAAUUUAAAUUUAAAAAUUAAAUUGGGGUGGGAUUAGUUAACCCCACCUGGCCAAUUCCAGGGGGAGGUGGGGUUUGUUAACCACACCCCUAACGGGUUAUUCCGGAAUAACCCGUUAGGGAUGGGGUUAACAAAUUCCACUCAUUGAAAAAGGUGUUUGGGGAUUAAGAGGGGAAUAACUCCUUAAACCCCCUCCUGACCCUCAACCAAACACCACCUGAGUCCAAUUUUUACCACUCACAUGUAGGAAUGUUACUUUUUCACUGCAUGAGUGAUAAUUGUAAAGUGAUUGAGACACCAAAAAAAUAAUAAUAAUAAUAAUAAUAAUAAUGUUGGAGUUGUUUGUUUCAAACAAAAUGAUAAGAUCUGUUAUUAUCAGCCUCUUUUUGCAAAGUAAAAGAAGAGAUUGAUGAAAACCUUUUGAUGCAGACCCUUUUCACCUGCUUCUAAAAACUCCUGAUGAUGCACAGAUUGUUACGUGUAUUAUAUAUCGACAUGUAAGUACAUUAAUAAAAACUUCAAAUACCAUCUCUGUGAUUUUGCAUUUUCUCACUUUAGUAUCCUGUGGUUUAAAGUGUAUCGAUUUAGUACUCCGUGGUUUUAUUUUUUCUUUUUUAUUAUCUCCUUCACUAAUUUUUUUUUUAUUAAAUCAGUGACAAAGUUAAAACUAAAAGAGACUAAAGUAAAUAUUCGAUAAAUUUAGAUUGGGUAUGAAAAGUUUUUUUUGUAUAUAAUUUAACGAAAUAUUAACAGAGGAGUUGAUGAAAAGAAAAAAAUGAAAUCACAGGAUACUAAAUUGAUACACUUUAAAUCAUAUGGUACUAAAAUGAGAAAGUGCGAAACCACAGGUAUGGUAUUUGAAGUUUAUCCUAAAUUUUUAGUAGUAAAAAAAAAGAUAAGACAAGUGACAAAAUAUGAGCCACGGAAGGAUUAAGAUAUAAAAUUUAUAGGGAUGAAAAUGGUGUCGAUUUUUUGACGAAACCAUGUCCGCAUCUGUAUCUUUCUUCGGGUGCAAAAAUGUGUCGUAUGCCAAAUCUUCGAUACUAUAUCCGCUUAAAACGGAUUUGAAUUCAGAAUGAAUCGAAUUCGUAUUCAAAUACAAAUAUUAUUCCGAUAAUAAUAUAUACUAAUAAGCAUUUAUAAAUAUGAACUAAAAUUGGCAUAAAUAAAACACAUAAUUGCAUUAAAACUUUAUAUUUGUAUUCAAACUUCAUAUGCCUAUAUCUUAUUCAAUAAAUUAAAUAUUUUAAAAAAAUGUAAAUGUAUUUUUUAAUAUGAAGUUCAUUGUAAGGUAAAGGAAAAAUAAGAUAAAAAAUUACCUUAUUUUCCUACAAUAUAUAUUAACAUCUUUCUUAUCUUUUAAGAAUGAAAACGGUCAAAUAUGAUCAAAUUUUUUAGAAAAUCAUAUUUGAAUCAACUUUUAAAAUUUUUUUAAAUAUAAAUUUGAAUACGAAUAUGUAUCAGAUAUUAAGCUUUGAUAUUUAUAUACGCAUUCUAUCGAAUCUGAUGUGAAAUUUCAACCUGCUUCAUAGGUGAAUGGGGACAGGUUUUGUACUGCAGUGCAAUUUUGGGGUGCAAUUAAUUAUUCCGUACAUCGAGACAGAAUUGGUAAUUGGACAUGGCAAUUAUUCAUGACCUAGACUAUUAAAAGAAAAAUUACAGUUUAAAUAAAAAUUAUAUAUUUUUUGUCACAGCUAUAAAAUUGUAGUUCUCACCGUUCUGAUUUUUUGUAUAGUAAUAAGUGAGUGAUGUAAAAUCUAAAAGUCACCAUCAUUAAUAUUUUAUUAUUUUUGUCGCUUUGUUUUUGUAAUUGAUUACGAGAUGCUGAAAGGUUUGAGUUUUGACCAAAAGUAAAAUUACAAUAAAAUAAACAACAAAACUUAAUAUUUUACGUCUCUACUUCCGAUGAAAUAAAUACUCCUCAAGCUUAUUUGUUUCAACGAAGGUGAAAUUUAGCUGGAAAUAGACUUUCGAGUAAACUAGAUUUCAAGUAAAAAUUAGCUUUCUUCCACUAUUUGUAUGUAUAUUUGUGAAUCUAAAAUUUUUCCGAUUGUUCUACUAUGUAUUUAAAACAGAAAUAAAGCGUUAAAUGCAUUCAUGUCUCUGCAAAUAUAGUGAAUUGUAAAUAUGUCCCUACAAAAUUUAAUUUUUAUAUAUUUUUUCUGCAAAAAUUUAAUGUUUUUAAAUAUGUUCCUCUAGUUAUAGAACUGUUUAUAUUUUAAGUGAAAUGUCAAUUUUAUCAUCACAAAUAUAUCUCUCCAAAAACCACAACAGUGUAAUAAAUAAGAGGGGCAAAAAUGUAAAGUUAUCUCAUAAAUUAACCAGAGUUAAGAAUUUAACCUACGGUUAAUUAAAAUUUUCUAACCAAUUCUAACGGCAUGGACAUAUUUAAAAACAUUAGGAUUAGGAUUUUUAUAGGGACAACAUAUGAAAGUUGAAUUUUGUAUGGAUAUAAUUGUAAUUCACUAUAUUAGCAGAAACCUAUAUGAAAUUAACUCUAAAAUAAAUAACGAAAAAAAUGAAUAUACAAGAAAUAGGCUAAUAUUUUAUUAUUCUUUUCUUAUCUUUUCUUUCCGUAAUUGACUAUAGUAUUUUCAAAAGUUAUCAAAAUUAAAUUACGAUAAAUCAAACACGAACAUUCACAUUCACGGUCGAAAAUAACUUCACCCCUUUCUCGAUGACCGCGAUCCAAUUUUUCUCUCUUAAAAGUUUAAAUUCAAAUCUACAAUUGAAUUUAAUGUGCUCCAGAAGCACCAUCUAGAGGACAUGUAAAGGUGACUAACUUUCUAUACAAAGAAAAGAGUAAAACACCACGCCUUGAAUUUAUUAUAUUAUCUAUUAUUAUAUACUAAAGUGCGUGGAAUGGUUUUCUUUUAUUGAGAUGUAGCUCUACUAUUCAGUACAUCCGGUGCAUUGUAGACCAUGGAUUGUAGACAUAUAAAUGGUUUAUAUAUAUAUAUAUAUAUAUAUAUAGUNNNNNNNNNNNNNNNNNNNNNAGCUGGGCCCUCAAGUCACGGACCUCACUAGAUCCGGAAGUAGCGGAGGUCUCAACCUCCUCGGGGUGUGCCGCAUCAUCCGCCCCGGCAGACUGGGAGCGUGUAAUCGGCAUCGUCACUACAAAGCAUAAAAGCGCAAGUUAGUAACCCACGCUAUCGCAUCCCCGCUCAAAUAGA
rnacentral:lncRNA from 1 species